UUUUUUUUUGUUAUUGUUGAGACAGAGCAGGGUUCGAACUGGGUUGUGGCCCAUCUAGCCCAGGCUUAUAUUUUAUGUUCACCAUGUGACCAGCCCAGCUAUUUUUUCUUUGUGAAAAUGAGCCCAGUUUAUUUUUUCUGAAGAAUGCCCAAUCCAGAUCUACUUAUUUUUCUACGCCCUGAUGGGCUGCAAAUCUUGAAAGUAAUAUGAAAUGGGUUGUAAAUAUAAAAGCAAAUGACAAAUUGGCAAUUACUUUAUAAAAAAUUUCACAUUUUCAGAUUCCUAUUUCACUGGGCAUUAACCUAAUUGAAAUAUAUCUUCAAAGUACUUUAAAUGUGGCUGGACAUUUCAGUAUUAGAAAUAGUUUGGAACCCACAGAAAUAUGCAAAAUUGGCCCUGGCCAACCAAAGAAACGACUGCAAUAAAUUGCAUAAGAAGUUGCCAUGAGCUAUAUAUAAAUUAUUAAUAAAAAGAAGGAGUGGUCUGACUUGUGGGCCUGUUUAGUUGACGCGUAUGCAAGAUUUUUUUAGUUAUUAUAUACGUCAACAAAUGAUUCUAGCAGACGUAACCGUUCUAUGUCAAUCCAACGGCCGUCAUGUUUCAUCAAUCUCUGAUCUUCUUGCUCCAGCCGCCAAAGCAGCGCCAGUGGGACCGCCUGCUCCCACCUCCCGUGGCCGGCUGUGCUGCCGCAUAGGCCUUAGCGCCCCCUACUACUCCCACCGCUGGACAGGGCAUCCCUCUACUCACCCACACCCCCUGUUAUUCUGCAGCAACGGCAGCCUCACACCGCAGCCGAACCGGUGAACCCUCGUACUCCUCUCUGCGCGGGCUUCCACUGCUGCAUCUUUCUCGGCUCCACGUUGUCCCCUUCCUAGGCCUCGCUGUCAUCCAUUGUCGUGGUGCUCUCGGUGCGGUGUGGUCAAUGUGGUCAACGACCGAUUUCCAUCGGGAGAGUACUGUACAUGGAGAGGCUGACAGCUGGGUCCACGACAUCCGCAAGGAAGUGCCUCCUUAUUAUGCAGAAAAUAAUUAUUCCUCCAGCUGACAGCAGGGACCCACUGGACGGGCCACCAGUAUUUCGCGAAAAAAAACAUUUCCCCCUGACUGCUGGGACCCACCAGAAGGGCCACCGUAUUUCACGAAAAAAACGUUCCCCCCGCUGUCAGCUCGGACCCACCAGAAGUGCCUCCUUAUUACGCACAAAAAAUGAAUACCCCCCUGCUAGCUGGGACCCACCUCGAUGGGAGGCUGACUUGUGGGCCUACUAAGUUGACUGGGACGGAGGCCUUUGUCAACUUUAGUCAAUAUAUGAACGAUUCUAGCUCCAAUGACCGUACGAUGUCCAUCCAACGGCCGUAGUGCUUCUUCAACCUCUGGUCUUCUCGCUCCAGCCGCCCAAAGCAGCAUCGGUCAUGCCGCAUGCUCCUACCACCAGUGGCCGACUGUGAUGCCGCGGAGGCCUCACUGCCCCCUACUACUCUCACCGCUGGCCAGGUCAUCCCUCUACUCACCCACACCCCCUGUUAUUCUGCGGCGACGGCAGCGUCACACCGCAGCCGAACGAGUGAACCCUCAUACUCCUCUACGCGUGGGCAUCCACUACUGCGUCUUCCCCGACUCCGCGUCGUCCCCUUCCUAGCCUCACUGUCGUCCACCGCCCUGGUGCUCUCGGCGCGGUGUGGUCAACGUGGUCAAGGAACGACUUUCAUCAGACGUGGACUGUAUGUGGAGAGGCUGACAGCUGGGUCCACGGCCACAGCAAGGAAGUGCCUCCUUAUUAUGCGGAAAAUAAUGAUUCCUCCAACUGACAACAGGGCCCCUCCAGACGGGCCACCGUAUUUCAUGGAAAAAACAUUUCCCCCUGACUACUGGGACCCACCAGCUACAUCUUCGCACGCAAGGAAGUGCCUGACAGUCGGGACCCACCUGGUCGAAGCGUACGUAGCAUUGUCAUUCUGGUCGAGAACAUGUACGUACAUAUAUACUGGUCGAUGUAGAGGCGCGCACGUAGCAUGUACACGUAUGUAUAGCGUCCAGUGUGCAAGAAAGAAAAUACGGCCACGUAUGUGUACAUAUGGGCAGGGUCUCGAACGCCUACUCCCGCAUAUGUACGGCCAGGGCUUGUGUACAUGGCUGGGCCGGAACGGAGAAACAACAUCGUCGUCGUGUUCAUGGGGAGCCAACCGGCUGGGUCGGAACGGAAUGCGUAGUCGUGUUCAUCGGGAGGGCUUGGACAGAACAGGCGAUGGAAACGAGGCCUGGCGUACCACAGAAUGGAGGAACCGACCUUGUGUUCGACCGGCCACGUUCAAAAUGGGAUCCUGUUCAUCAAGAGGGGUCGGGCGUACCGCAAAACGGAGGAAACGGACCUCCUACGGUCGAAACAGGGGUCCUAUUGAUUGGGAGGGGUGUGGCAUACCGCAAAACGGAUGAAACAGACUUGUGUUGGAGUGCUACGGUUGAAACGGGAGUCCUGUUCAUCGGGAGGGGUGUGGCGUACCGCAAAACGGGACUCCAUGCGAUACUGUUCAUCUCCACCGUCGACCUCCUCCAGCCUCCACCUGCGACUGUUCAUCCACGGGCUCCUUUUCAUCCAACCUCCACCACGUGCUACUCCACCGGCUACUGUUCAACCACCCCUCUCCACGGGCUCCUGUUCAACCACCCCUCCACGGGCUACUGUUCAUCCACCCCUCCAUCAUCUACUGUUCAUCUAGCCCACCACGGGGUCGUCCUGUUCAUCCAGCCCUCCACGGGGUCCUGUUCAUCCAGCCCCAACCGGCUCGAUCGAUCGGGGUCCUCUUCAUCCAGAGGCAACGCCACGGGUCCUGUUCAUNNNNNNNNNNNNNNNNNNNNNNNNNNNNNNNNNNNNNNNNNNNNNNNNNNNNNNNNNNNNNNNNNNNNNNNNNNNNNNNNNNNNNNNNNNNNNNNNNNNNNNNNNNNNNNNNNNNNNNNNNNNNNNNNNNNNNNNNNNNNNNNNNNNNNNNNNNNNNNNNNNNNNNNNNNNNNNNNNNNNNNNNNNNNNNNNNNNNNNNNNNNNNNNNNNNNNNNNNNNNNNNNNNNNNNNNNNNNNNNNNNNNNNNNNNNNNNNNNNNNNNNNGAUCGGCUUCAGUUAGCAGCAGUAGCGAAGGAAUCGCUCAAUCGGGUUCAGUUCACAGCCAUCCAUCGAUCGCUCGGGUUCAGUAAUGCGUAGCCUGCAAUGCAAUCGCUCGGGUUCAGUUAGAGCCCAAUGCCCCACUCGGGUUCAGUUAGAGCCAACGCCUCGCACACACGCGCGUACGUGUACAAGAGAAACGCGCAUCGCUCAGCCCCCGACCACCCAUCGUAACCGGGAACUCCCCAAAAUUUUCCUCGCCCUCACUUCUACCACGGUAUUUUCCGUCAUGGACGGCCCAAAGAAUGUCAUGCAGCUGCGUCUCCGGCCCGCCCAGGACGAAAAGCCCAUUUUCUGUCAUCAUUUUUUGUCAUAGAAGUAGGAGCCCACCACAUCUAUGAUGAUACCCGGUUUUGUCACAAUUAUCGUCAUAGAAGUGUCAUACGUAUGACAGGAAAAAAAUUCGUUCGGCCCAAAAUGUCACGGAUGUGUCUUUUCUUUGCAGUGCAUGUCCUCAGGAACAAACGUAACUACUCACAAAUCAUAUUCAUGUUCAUAAUCAGAGGAAUAUUAAUAUGCAUUAAGGAUCUGAACAUAUGAUGUUCGACCGAAUAAACCAACUAGCAUCAACUACAAGGAGUAAUCAACACUACUAGCAACCCACAGGUACCAAUAUGAGGUUUUGAGACAAAGAUCGAUACAAGAGAUGAACUAGGGUUUGAGAGAUGGUGUUGGUGAAGAUGUUUAAGGAGAUUGACCCCUUCUCAAUGAGAGGAUCGGUUUUGAUGACGAUGGCGAUGAUUUCCCCCUCCCGGAGGGACGUUUCCCCGGCAGAACAGCUCCGCUGAAGCCCUAGAUUGGUCCUGCCAAGGUUCCGCCUCGAGACGGCAGCGCUUCAUCCCGAAAGUUUCCUUAUGAUUUUUUCCAGGGCAAAAGACACCAUAUAGAAGAAUAUGGGCAUCGGGGGCCUGUCAGGUGGCCCACGAGGCAGGGGCCGCGCCCUGCACCCUCGUGGCUGGUGGGUGGCCCCCCUCUGGUGCUUUCUUCACCCAAUAUUUUUAAUAUAUUCCAAAACUGACUUUCAUGGAGUUUCAUGACUUUUGGAGUUGUGCCGAACAGGUCUCUAAUAUUUGCUCCUUUUCCAGCCCAGAAUUCCAGUUGCCGGCAUUCUCCCUCCUCGUGUAAACCUUAUAAAAUAAGAGAGAAAAGGCAUAAGUAUUGUGACAUAAUGUGUAGUAACAACCCAUAAUGCAAUAAAUAUUGAUAUAAAAGCAUGAUGCAAAAUGGACGUAUCACUCUCUAAUUACCAAAACAUUUGUCAGACAUAUAAAAAGGUUCCUUCAUCCUUUUUUGGGUGGCUUGUACUGUUGCCUAAUGAUCUUUCCUUUUAAUAGAUAAAAAUGCUUAUAAUCAUAAUAUUUUGGGUGUGGGCAUGUAACAAAUUUAGUAAGAUUGAUUUAUGUGUGCAUUGUUAUCUUCCAACAAAAAACCUCUGAACUGUGCCUAGCAGAACAUAAUGUUCAAUGUAUUUCUUCUAUGAUACCACCACAUUGUAACAAGUAAUUAUACAUCGCUGCAAUUCAUCCAUAGUUUUGUUGAACUUCUAUUUUUCUUGUUCAAAAUUUAACUGUAUUUCAAUGUUUGUUCUUCUACAUCAGGUAAUGCUUGUUGGAACUGGAGUCUUUGUUAUCUUGGUCAAGAUUUUGCACAUGGUUAGUAUAUGCAGUCUUCACUUUAUCUACUUUAUCUUCUACUCUGAAGAUUUAUCAGCUCAAGUGGGCAGAUUAGAAGUUCAGCCAUGUUUUUGCCAUUGUUAGGAUGCUGGUCAUUUUAGGCAUGGACGCACAUGGCCACAUGCCCCCCAUCUUUGGGCGCCGAGCUUGUUGUCCCAUCAUGCAUCUUGAUGGUGUGCCGCUCAAUUUAGCCUAGGUAAUUGAGGGAGUCCUAGAUUAGGGGGUGUCCGGAUGGCCGGACUAUGACCUUUGGCCGGACUCCCGGACUAUGAAGAUACAAGAUUGAAGAUUUCGUCCCAUGUCUGGAUGGGACUUUCCUUGGCGUGGAAGGCAAGCUUGGCGAUACGAUAUGAAGAUCUCCUCCCAUUGUAACCGACUCUGUGUAACCCUAUCCCUCUUCGGUGUCUAUAUAAACCGGAGAGUUUUAGUCCGUAGGACAAACAACAAUCAUACCAUAGGCUAGAUUCUAGGGUUUAGCCACUCCGAUCUCGUGGUAGAUCUACUCUUGUACUACCCAUAUCAUCAAUAUUAAUCAAGCAGGAGUAGGGUUUUACCUCCAUCGAGAGGACCCGAACCUGGGUAAAAACAUCGUGUCCCUUGUCUCCUGUUACCAUCCGCCUAGACUCACAGUUCAGGACCCCCUACCCGAGAUCCGCCGGUUUUGACACCGACAUUGGUGCUUUCAUUGAGAGUUCCUCUGUUUCGUCGCCUUUUAGGCCUGAUGGCUUCUUCGCUCGUCAACCACGACGCGGUCCGGGAUGAGACUUUUCUCCCCGGAUAGAUCUUCGUAUUCGGUGGCUUCACACUGCGGGCUGACUCAUUCGGCCAUCUGGAGCAGAUCAAGAGCUACGCCCCUGGCCAUCAGGUCAGGUUUGGAAGCUUGAACUACACGGCCGACAUCCGCGGGGACUUGAUCUUCGACGGUUUCGAGCCACAACCAGGCGCGCCGCACUGUCAUGAUGGGCACGAUUUAGCUCUGUCAUCGGACAACGCCCAGAGCGUCGCUCAGGUGUCCACUCCGACCAUUAGCUCGGAGCCCACUACGCCAGUCACGGACAGACGGUUAGACGCCACCCCGGAAACUGCAAUCUCUACAGCGAUAGAGCCGGAUAGCAGCCUAGUCCCUCGCAGGGCCCGUGACUCUGAGGUGCCGGACUCCGAUCCGGACUCCGUAAAUCCCGCACCUCUCCCGGUUAAGCCCGAUUGGGUUCCGGUCAUGGAGUUCACCACCAUGGAUGUCUUUCAGCACUCACCUUUCGGCAACAUCCUGAAUUUGUUAAAGUCUCUCUCUUUGUCAGGAGAGCCCUGGUCGGACUACGGCCAACACGGUUGGGACACGGACGACGAAGAAAUUUGUAGCCCACCCACCACCCACUUUGUAGCCACUGUCGACGAUUUAACCGACAUGCUCGACUUCGACUCCGAAGACAUCGACGGCAUGGACGCCGAUGAAGGAGACGAUCAAGAACCAGUGCCUAUAGGGAACUGGAAAGCCACCUCGUCAUACGACAUAUACAUGGUGGACACCCCUAAAGCGGGGGAUGGCAAGGAGAAAACGGAGGGUGACCCCUCCAAGAAGCAACCCAAGCGCCGACGUCAGCGGCGCCGCUCUAAGUCCCGCCAAAGCAAAAACGGCGAUUCCGGCACCGGAGAUAACAAUACGCCGGACAGUGCCAAAGACAACCCCCUCCAGCAGGAUUCAGUGCAGGAGAACGAAGGAGCCAGCCCUCGUGAGAGAGCGGCCGACAAAGAGGAUGAGGACGACAAUUACAUGCCUCCCUCCGAAGACGAGGCAAGCCUCGACGAUGAUGAAUUCAUCGUGCCAGAGGAUCCCGUCGAGCAAGAGCGUUUCAAACACAGACUCGUAGCCACGGCAAGCAGCCUCAAGAAGAAACAGCAGCAGCUUAGAGCUGACCAAGACUUGCUAGCCAACAGAUGGACCGAAGUCCUGGCGGCCGAAGAGUAUAAACUAGAACGCCCAUCCAAGAGCUACCCGAAGCGCAGGCUGCUUCCCCAACUUGAGGAGGAAGCAACUAAACCUACAUCACCAGUGUACGAUGUGCCCGAUCGGCCACCCCGUGGCCAUGAUAGAGAGGCCUUCAGGCCCUCGACCCAAGGCGCACCCCGACACCGCUCAAAACAUACCAGAGUCUGGGGAGACGCAACAGACCUGCGAGACAUCUUGGAGAAUAAGGCAAGGCAAACAAGAUCGAUCUACGGAUCGCAUGGGCGCCCUGCUUCACGUGACGCUAGCCGUCAUGCCGGACAUAAUAAGUAUGGCCCGGCCGAAUACAACAGACCAAGCUCGUCCGAGCUGCGUCGCGAUAUAGCUCAGUACAGUGGCGCCGCACACCCACUAUGCUUCACAAACGAAGUAAUGGAUCAUCAAAUCCCCGAGGUCUUCAAACCCGUAAACAUCGAAUCAUACGAUGGCACAACAGAUCCUGCAGUAUGGAUCGAGGAUUAUCUCCUUCACAUCCACAUGGCCCGUGGCAAUGAUCUACACGCCAUCAAAUACCUCCCGCUCAAGCUUAAAGGACUAGCACGGCAUUGGCUUAAUAGCCUGCCAGCAGAGUCAAUCAGUUGUUGGGAGGACCUGGAAUCCGCAUUCCUUGACAACUUCCAGGGCACGUAUGUGCGACCACCAGACACCGAUGACCUAAGCCACAUAAUCCAGCAACCAGAGGAAUCGGCCAGACAAUCCUGGACAUGGUUCCUGACAAAGAAAAACCAAAUAGUCGAUUGUCCGGACGCUGAGGCCCUCGCAGCCUUCAGGCACAACAUCCGAGACGAAUGGCUUGCCCGGCACCUAGGACAGGAAAAGCCGAAGUCUAUGGCAGCCCUCACGACACUCAUGACCCGCUUCUGCGCGGGAGAAGAUAGCUGGCUAGCUCGUACCAAUAACAUAAGCAAGAGCCCCGGCAAUUCGGAUACCAAGGAUAACAACGGCAGGUCACGCCGCAACAAGCAUAAGCGUCGCAUUAACGGUGACAAUACUGAAGAUACGGCAGUCAAUGCCGGAUUCAGAGGCUCUAAACCGGGUCAGCGGAAGAAGCCAUUCAAACGAAACCCUCAGGGCCCAUCCAGCUUAGACCGGAUACUUGAUCGCUCGUGCCAGAUACACGGCACCCCCGAACAGCCAGCCAACCACACCAACAGAGAUUGUUGGGUGUUCAAGCAGGCAGGCAAGAUAAGCGCCGAGACCAGAGACAAGGGGCUACAUAGCGAUGACGAGGUGGGGCCCGGCCGCCGAACAACAAAGGACAGAAGGGAUUUCCCCCACAAGUUCGGACGGUGAAUAUGAUAUACGCAACCCACAUCCCCAAAAGGGAGCGGAAGCAUGCUCUCAAGGACGUCUAUGCGCUGGAGCCAGUUGCCCCAAAGUUCAACCCAUGGUCCUCCUGCCCGAUCACUUUCGAUCGACGGGACCAUCCCACCAGCAUCCGUCACGGCAGAUUCACCGCACUGGUCCUAGACCCAAUUAUCGACGGAUUUCACCUUACCAAAGUCCUAAUGGACGGCGGCAGUAGCCUGAACCUGCUUUACCAGGACACAGUGCGAGAAAUGGGCAUCGAUCCUUCGAGGAUUAAACCCACAAAGACAACCUUCAAAGGUGUCAUACCAGGGGUCGAAGCCAGCUGUACAGGCUCGGUCACACUCGAGGUGGUCUUUGGAUCACCGGAUAACUUUCGGAGCGAGGAGUUAAUCUUCGACAUAGUCCCAUUCCGCAGCGGCUAUCAUGCCCUGCUCGGACGAACCGCAUUUGCAAAAUUCAAUGCGGUGCCGCACUACGCAUAUCUCAAGCUCAAGAUGCCAGGACCUCACGGAGUCAUCACGGUAAAUGGAAACACAGAACGCUCUCUCCGAACGGAGGAGCACACAGUGGCCCUGGCGGCGGAAGUACAGAGUAGCCUCUCAAGGCAGUUCUCCAAUCCAUGCGCCAAACGUCCGGACAACGUCAAGCGAGCCCGAAGUAACCUACAAAAAAUCUGGUUGGCACGUUCCGAGCAAGCAUAGCAGUGCGGCCCUGACCCCAGCCCCCGCCAAACAGCAAUGCUGGUACCACGCGUACAUAAUUACGCCUUAGAGAUACCAUGGGCAUAAGGGGAGGGUCACAACAAUGGCACGCCCAGAAUGUGGCUUAACCGCACUAGGGGGCUCCCUAUUUCGCCGUUUUCCUUUUUCACACACUUUCAGGACCCAACUAUUCGGAAGGCCUGUCCGGCAAUACUCUCGCCGAACCAACGAUGCAAUAGCCAGGGAGGAAACAAGCCACGUCAAAAGUCCAGGUGGUCUCUAUAACGAGUUUAAUACCUGUUUCUCUUACAAUCCUGCAGCUUGCCCCCGAAGGGGAAUAUGUCAAAUACUCCCAUCUCUUGCUUACCGCACUUUUUGUAUCGUUCUGCUUUCGCAACAGCCCUUUUUUUAAUGAACAAUAUAUAGCUCUUACCUAUUAUUGGACUUAUAUAUUUUUAUAUGCAAAUAUGUUCAGUCAUGACACUAUGCAACCAUACACUUUGGUACGGAUAAUACACCAGGGGCUUACAACACCCCAUAACAUGGUGUGAGAAGACCGAACACUUUAACAAGUGCGGCACCCCGAACUUAUAGCACUAUAUGCAUCGGCUCCAAAUCAUGUCUUUGGUCAAUAGUUGGGUUUGCCCGGCUCCCAUGUUUUGGUACCUUACGUUCCGCAUUGUUGGCUAAGAUAGUGUUGGGAGAACUACUGCGAUUGUGCCCCAGUUGAGCUGGGUUAACACCUCAGUAGAGAAAGCUAAAACUGACUGUCAUGAUAGUGCGAGAGACCGGUCGCUGUUCGCGAGGUUUUUUCGAGUCCUUAAAGACUUAUGCCGCUUCAAGCAAAGAACCGGACUUAUCCGGCCUAGGCGUGGAUAGCGCCCCGAACUCGGUCUUCCGAAUACUAGGGGCUUCGCCGAAAUUUAAAAUUAUAGAAUUCUAUGGCUAAGUGAGAGUGAUAAAGCAUUAUAAGUCCGACGGCCUGGUUCGAUGUGCUGAAAGCCUCCCUAGAUGGACCCAAGAAUGGGAACAAGAGCGCUUAGGUUUAUCCCGAACACCCCAGCACUCGUGGCAUGGGGGUCGAAGCCGACGACUUGCAUCUCUCAGAUUUGAUAAACGGCCGCACAGAAGGUAAUAUUUUAAAUUAACAAGUGUUGCUUAACGCAUAUGAACAAAGCUUCAGCGUACAGGAUAACAAAUGCGAGUUUACUCAAAAAUUACAUCUUUGGAGCACUCAUCCGCUAUGCGGCGGGCACCCUUCAGAACACCAUUAUAAUACAUCUCGGGCGUACGAUACUCCUUGCCCGGCGGUGGCGCGUCCGUCAAUAGCCUCUCUGCAUCUAGCUUGCCCCAGUGCACCUUAGCACGGGUAAGGGCCCGACGGGCACCUUCAAUGCAAAUGGAGCGCUUGACGACCUCAAUCCACGGACACGCGUCCACCAUCCGCCGCACCAGACCGAAGUAGCUCCCAGGCAUGACCUCUCCAGGCCACAGCAAAGCUAUGAGGCCCUUCAUGGCCUAUUCGGCCACCUUGUGGAGCUCAACCAGCUGCUUCAGCUGGUCGCUCAGGGGCACCGGAUGUUCGGCCUCAGCAUACUGAGACCAAAACACUUUUUCUGUCGAGCUCCCCUCUUCGGCUCGGUAGUAUGCGGCGGCAUCAGACACACUACGGGGCAGAUCGGCGAACGCUCCUGGAGAGCUCCGGAUUCGGGUAAGUAGCAGAUAAUUAACUUUUAUAUUUUUGCUUUGCAUAAAGAAUGCCUUACCCGCCGCUAUCUUCUUCAUCGCCUCGAUCUCCUUUAGGGCCUUUUGGGCUUCGGCCUUAGCGGUCUUGGCACUCUCAAGAGCCAAGGCAAGCUCGGACUCUCGAGUCUUCGAGUCAUGCUCCAAACUCUCGUGUUUUUCCAUGAGAGCCUGGAGCUCUUGCCGCACCUCCGCCACCCGCGCCUCCUGCUUCUCUCGCUCGGCGCGCUCCAAGGCCGCACUCUUUUCGGCCUUGGAGACCGCCUCUUUCAGGGUUGCCACCUCGGUCGUGGCUCCUGCAACAUUAACGUUGGUCCUGUUAUUAUUAUUAUGCAACCAAGUAUUUCUAUAUACAUUUACAGGAGGUACUACAUACCCUCUUUAUCCUCGAGCUGCUUCUUGGCAUGGCCGAGCUCGCUCUCGGACUGCUCGAGGCUUUCCUUCAAGGCAUUGACCUCCGCAGUCAGUGCGGCAGAGGUCAGCAGCGCAGCCUACAUUACCAUAUUGACAUAUUUCUAUUAGACUCCUGCGUAUAUCUUUUAAGAUACUCAGUUCGGCUUUUCUUUCCGAACACCGAACUAAGCAUCAAGGGCUACUGUCUAUGCGGUAACAUUUUUUAUAUAUGUUUUUGAACACAUACCUCAAAGCCCGUUAACAGGCUUGUGCAGGCUUCCGUCAGCCCGCUCUUGGCGGACUGAACCUUCUAAAUCACUGAACUCAUAACAGUGCGGUGUUCUUCGUCGAUAGAGGCGCCGUUGAGCGCCUCCAGCAAAUUGUCCGGCGCCUCCGGGUGGACGGAAGUCGCCGGCGUCGCGGACUUGCCCUUCUUGUGAAGGAGCCGCCUGUCGGGCUCUAGAACCACUGAUGGUUCCGGAGCAGUGUCCGGCCCAGGGCCGGACUUAGAUCCCUCCGGGGCUUUACCCUCUCAUGGGGCCUGGGGGUGGGAGUGAGUUGCCCUGCAUCUGGGAGCCGGUGCGCGAUGUCGUUAGACAAGUAUCCGGCCUCCCUCAGGUUUUUGAUUUGUCCCUCGUGACGAAGGAGGCCAUCCAUCUACCUCCCCCUCCUGACAUGGUUGGAGAAGGUUGAGGUGGGAAGUGCGGGCUUGGGCGCUGAAGCUCGAGCGCACAGGGACGGAUAAGCAGAGGAGGAAGAAGGCGUGAAUGGAAAGGGAAGAUUCUUAUCUCCUUAUAUGGGCGGCCAAAACUACGAGCCCCCCACCGGUCUAAUAAAACUCGCUUAUCUCCCAAGCGCCGCGGUUAAUGGCGCGGUUGGGUUACCCACGCCCGUAUUGAUGAGAAUCCCAGAAUAAGGGGACACGAUCUCUGCUUUGACAAGACGUGCCAGGGAAGCCGCCUCGCUAAACGUGCUGAGGUGGAACAAUAAAAUGAAUAAAGAGCCUGGCCGUGGCAUGAUGUCACGCCACGGAAUGCGUCAGCAGAUCUGAUUGAUGCAAAUAUUAUUCUCUCUAUGAAGGAAUGUGGAACUUAUUUUGCAGAGCCGGACACUACCCUGGUGUUCAACAUCUUCUAUGAAAUAUUCGGAGGAGGAACCCGCCUUGCAAUGCCGAAGACAACUUGCGCGCCGGACUCGUCGUCAUUGAAGCCUGGUUCAGGGGCUACUAAGGGAGUCCUCGAUUAGGGGGUGUCCGGAUGGCCGGACUAUGACCUUUGGCCGGAAUCCCGGACUAUGAAGAUACAAGAUUGAAGACUCCGUCUCGUGUCCGGAUGGGACUUUCCUUGGCAUGGAAGGCAAGCUUGGCGAUACGAUAUGAAGAUCUCCUCCCAUUGUAACCGACUCUGUGUAACCCUAGCCCUCUCCGGUGUCUAUAUAAACCGGAGAGUUUUAGUCCGUAAGACGAACAACAAUCAUACCAUAGGCUAGAUUCUAGGGUUUAGCCACUCCGAUCUCGUGGUAGAUCUACUCUUGUACUACCCAUAUCAUCAAUAUUAAUCAAGCAGGAGUAGGGUUUUACCUCCAUCGAGAGGGCCCGAACCUGGGUAAAAACAUCGUGUCCCUUGUCUCCUGUUACCAUCCGCCUAGACGCACAGUUCGGGACCCCCUACCCGAGAUCUGCCGGUUUUGACACCGACAGUAAUCUUCUCGAGAUUCAUGCCUCGGUUAAUUAUUAUUUUAUUAGAAACAUUAAUUAGGAAAACAAUAUAUGUUUUCACUCAUAGGCCAACAAAGUUUGUCUUCGUCCACCCACCAUCCAAAAUUAUUUUAAAUAUUAGGGUGGUAUCAGUGUUGGGUAGUACUACAAAUUCAUGGUGUCUUGUUACCAAAUUGACCUAUUUUCAAGUACACUAACAUACAUCCUUUGGUUCACUUAUAGGAGCAAAACAAAUGGUUAAAUAUGGAUUAUCAGCUCAAGAGCGCAGAUUAGAAGUUCGGCCAUGUUUUUUCCAUUGUUGGGAUGCUGGUCAUUUUAGGUAUGGACACACAUGGCCACCUGCCGCCCAUCGCCAUGGGCCGAGCUUUUCGUCCCAUCGUGCAUCUCGAUGGUUGAUACGUCCAUUUUGCAUCAUGUUUUCUUACUGUUAUUUAUGUUGUUUUAUUGUAUAAUAAUGCUUUGGAGUAAUUCUAGUGCCUUUUCUCUCAAAAUGUGCAAGGUAUGUACCAAGGGGGAGAAUUCUGGCAGCUAGAAAUCUGGACCUGAAAAAGCUACGUCAAGCUACCUAUUCUGCACAACUCCAAAUGAGCUGAAACUCCCCGAGGAUUUUUUAUGGAAUAUUUAAGGAAUAUUGGAGCAAAUAAGUACCACAUGAGGGCCACCAGGUGGGCACAACCCACCUGGGCGCGCCAGGAGGCCCAAGCGCGCCCUAGUGGGUGCUGCCCUCCUCGGCCCACCUCUAGUGCCCAUCUUCUGGUAUAUAAUUCAUUUUGACCUAGAAAAAAAUAAGGAGAGGACAUUCGGGACGAAGCACUGCCGCUUCGAGGCGGAACUUGGGCAGGAGCACUUUUGCCCUCCGGCAGACCGAUUCCACCGGGGAAACUUCCCUCCCGGAGGGGGAAAUCAUCAUCAUCAUCACCAACAACUCUCUCAUCUUGGGGAGGGCAAUAUUCAUCAACAUCUUCAUAGCACCAACUCCUCUCAAACCCUAGUUCAUCUCUUGCGUUCAAUCUUUGUAUCAAAACUAUAGAUUGGUGCCAGUGGGUGACUACUAGUGUUGAUUACAUCUUGUAGUUGAUUACUAUAUGGUUUAUUUGGUGGAAGAUUAUAUGUUCAGAUACAUUAUGCUAUUCAACACCCCUCUGAUCUUGAGCAUGUUUAUCAUUUGUGAGUAGUUACUUUUGUUCUUGAGGUCACGGGAGAAAUCAUGUUGCAAGUAGUCAUGUGAACUUGAUAUGUGUUCGAUAUUUUGAUGGUAUGUAUGUUGCCAUUCUCUUAGUGGUGUCAUGUGAACGUCGACUACAUGACACUUCACCAUAUUUGGGCCUAAGGGAAUGCAUUGCGGAGUACUUAUUAUAUGGUGGGCUGCGAGAGUGACAGAAGCUUAAACCCUAGUUUAUGCGCUAUUCCAUAAGGGGCCGAUUGGAUCCAAAAGGUUUAUGCUAUGGUUAGAAUUUAUUCUUAAUACUUUUCUCAUAGUUGCGGAUGCUUGCGAGAGGGUUAAUCAUAACUAGGAGGUUUUUUAAAGAAAGAACAUAAACUAAGCACCGGUCCACCCACAUAUCAAAUUAUCAAAGUACCGAACACGAAUUAAGCCAACAUGAUGAAAGUGACUAGAUGAAAUUCCCGUGUACCCUCAAGAACACUUUGCUUAUCAUAAGAAACCGUUUUGGCCUGUCCUUUGCCUCAAAAGGAUUGGGCUACCUUUCUGCACUUUUGUUACUACUAUUGCUACUUGCUCGUUACAAAUUGGCUUGCUACCAAACUACUCCGCUACUUACAAUUUUAGCACUUCCAGACAUUACCUUGCUGAAAACCACUUGUCAUUUCCUUAUGCUCCUCGUUGGGUUCGACACUCUUAACCCCAUACACUUGUGGGUCAUCAAGGCGAUUUUCUGGUUCCAUUGCCGGGGAGUGAAGCACUCUUGGUAAGUGGAAAUUGGUAAGGAAACAUUAUUACUAUGUGCUGAAAUUUAUUGCCACUUGCUACUAUGGAAAACAAUCCUUUGAGGGGUUUGUUCGGGGUAUCUUCACCUCGACCAGAACCACAAUUAGUUACCUCUCAACCUAUUGCACCUACUGAAAAUAUUGAAUAUGAAAUUCCUUCGAGUAUGUUAGAACAACUGCUAGCAAAUCCUUAUGGAGGAGAUGGAACCGAACAUCCUGAUAUGCACUUGAUAUAUGUGGAUGAAAUUUGUGGAUUAUUUAAGCUUGCAGGUUUACCUGGAGAUGAAGCUAACAAGAAGUUUUCCCUUUCUCUUUGAGGGUAAAAUCAUUGACAUGGUAUAGGCUAUGCGAUGAUAUUGGGUCUUGGAACUGGAACCGUUUGAAAUUGGAAUUUCAUCAGAAAUUUUAUCCUAUGCAUCUAGUUCAUCGUGAUCGGAAUUAUAUAUAUAAUUUUUGGCCUCGUGAGGAGAAAGUAUCGCUCUAGCUUGGGGGAGGCUUAAGUCAAUGUUAUAUUGAUGCCCCAAUCAUGAGCUCUCGAGAGAAAUUAUUAUCCAGAACUCUUAUGCUCGGCUUUCUUGUAAUGAUCAAAUCAUGCUCAAUACUUCUUGUACUGGUUCUUUUAUGAAGAAGACUACUGAAGACUAGGAACUCAAUGAAGGUAAAGAGUCAGGUAUUGAACCUAAGUUUGAUUGUGUUAAAACUUUUAUGAAUACCUAUGCCUUUUCAAAGUUUAGCACUAAAUAUGGACUUGACUCUGAGAUAGUAGCUUCCUUUUGUGAAUCUUUUGCUACUCAUGUUGAUCUCCCUAAGGAGAAGUGGUUUAAGUACCACCCACCAACUAAAGAAGAAAUUAAAGAACUAGUAAAAGCUAAAGAAGAAACUAUUAUUUACAAUGUUGAUCCAGUUGUUCCCACUCCUUAUAUUGAAAACCCACCUUUUCCUCUUAGGAUGAAGGAACGUGCUAAAUCUUCAACUGUGGUUAAAAAAAGUUAUGUUAGAACAUUCAAACCUUAUGAACAAAUCAAAGUUGAACCUAGUAUUGCUAUGGUUAAAGAUCUCUUAGUUGAUAAUAUUGAUGGGCAUGUUAUUUACUUCUGUGAUGAAGCUUAUAGAAUUGCUAAACCUGAAGGAAAAGAUAAACAUAGACCAGUUGUUUGCAUGCCUGUUGUCUCAGUUAAGAUAGGAGAUCACUAUUAUCAUGGGUUAUAUGAUGUAAGUGCUAGUGUGAGUGAUAUUCCCUUCUCCUUAUAUCAAGAAAUUAAAGAUGAAAUAAGACUUGCUGAAAUAGAAGACAUAGGUGUUACUAUUGAACAUGCUAAUAGAGAUACUAUAUCACCAAUUGGGAUUCUUAGAGAUGUUGAAGUCUUGUGUGGGAAGAUAAAAUACCCUACUAAUUUUCUUCUUCUUACCACCCCACAAGAUGAAUUUUGUCCCAUUAUAUUUGGUAGACCUUUCUUGAACACCGUCAAUGCAAAAAUAGAUUGUAAGAAACAAACUACCGGUGUUAGCUUUGGUGAUGAAUCUCAUGAGUUUAAUUUUUCCAAGUUUAGUAAACAACCUCAUAAGAAAGAUUUGCCUGGUAAGGAUUAAAUUAUUGGUCUUGCUUAUAUUGUUGUGCCUCCUACUGAUCAUUUGGAACAAUAUUUGAAAAUGAUUUGCACAUGCGUGAGAGAAAUGAAAUAGACAAAAUAUUUUUCGAACAACAACCUCUGCUUAAACACAAUUUGCCUAUUGAAACUCUAGGAGGUCCUCCUCCACCUAAAGGUGAUCAUGUGUUUGAAGUAAAACAAUUGCCAGACACCCUGAAAUAUGCUUAUAUUGAUGAAAAGAAGAUAUAUCCUGUUAUUAUCAGUGCUAACCUUUUAGAACAUGAAGAAGAAAGAUUAUUGAAAGUUCUAAGGAAGCACAGGGCUGCUAUUGGAUAUACUCCUGACGAUCUUAAGGGCAUUAGUCCAACUCUAUGUCAGCACAAGAUCAAUAUGGAACCUGAUGCUAAACCCGUUGUUGAUCACCAACGUCGGUUAAAUCCGAAAAUGAAAGAAGUGGUAAGAACGGAAAUAUUGAAACUUCUGGAAGCAGGUAUAAUCUAUCCUAUAACUGAUAGUAGAUGGGUAAGUCAUGUUCAUUGUGUCCCUAAGAAGGGAGCUAUUACUGUUGUUCCUAAUGAUAAGAAUGAGUUUAUUUCACAAAGAAUUGUUAAGGGCUACAGAAUGGUAAUUGAUUAGAGAAAAAUAAAUAAAGCUAUUAGAAAAGAUCAUUACCCUCUGCCUUUUAUUGAUAAAAUGUUAGAAAGACUAUCUAAGCAUACACAUGUUUGCUUCCUUGAUGGAUACUCUGGCUUUUCACCAAUACCUAUUUUACAAUCUGAUCAAGAAAAGACCACUUUUACUUGUCCUUUUGGAAUAUUUGCUUAUAGACGUAUGCCUUCUGGUUUAUCUAAUGCACCUGCUACCAUUCAAAGAUGUAUGACUGCUAUAUUCUCUGAUUUUUGUGAAAAGAUUGUUGAGGUUCUCAUGGAUGAAUUUUCUGUUUAUGGGAAGUCUUUUGGUGAUUGUUUAAGCAAUCUUGAUCGAGUUUUGCAGAGAUGUGAACAAACAAAUCUUGUCUUGAAUUGGGAGAAGUGCCACUUUAUGGUUAAUGAAGGUUUGUCUUGGGCCACAAAAUUUCUAAAAGAGGCAUUGAGGUGGACAAAGCCAAGGUUGAUGCAAUUGAGAAAAUGCCAUGUCCUAAAGAUAUCAAAGGUAUUCGUAGUUUCCUUGGUCAUGCUGGUUUCUAUAGAAGGUUUAUCAAAGACUUCUCUAAAAUUUCUAGGCCCCUUACUAAUCUUUUGUAAAAGGAUACUCCCUUUGUGUUUGAUGAUGAUUGUAUGGAAGCCUUUGAAACACUAAAGAAAGCCUUAAUCACUUCACAUGUUGUUCAACCACUUGAUUGGAACUUGCCUUUUGAGAUUACGUGUGAUGCCAGUGAUUAUGUUGUUGGUGUUGUUCUAAGACAAAGAGUUGAUAAGAAACUAAAUGCUAUUCAUUAUGCUAGUAAAACUCUAGACAGUGCUCAACAAAACUAUGCUACUACUGAAAAAUAAUUCUUAGCAGUGGUGUUUGCUUGCGAUAAAUUUAGAUCUUACAUUAUUGAUUCUAAAGUAAUUGUUCACACUGAUCACGCUGCUAUAAAAUAUAUUAUGGAAAAUAAAGAUGUUAAACCUGGACUCAUUAGGUUGGGUUCUUCUGCUACAAGAAUUUGAUUUGCAUAUUACUGACAGGAAAGGAGCAGAGAACCCCGUAGCUGAUAACUUGUCUAGACUUGAAAAUAUUCUUGAUGACCCACAACCUAUUAAUGAUAGCUUCCCUGAUGAACAGCUAGCUGCAAUAAAUGUUUCUCAUAGUACACCUUGGUAUGCAGACUAUGCUAAUUAUAUUGUUGCAAAAUACAUACCACCUAGCUUCACAUACCAACAAAAGAAAAAAUCUUCUUUGAUUUAAGACAUUACUUUUGGGAUGACCCACAUCUUUAUAAAGAAGGAGUAGAUGGUAUUAUUAGAUGUUGUGUACCUGAGCAUGAACAGGAACAAAUCCUACGGAAAUGUCACUCCAAAGCUUAUGGAGGACAUCACGUGGGAGACAUAACCGCUCAUAAGGUAUUGCAAUGUGGUUUUUAUUGGCCCACUCUCUUCAAAGAUGCCCGUAAGUUUGUCUCAUCUUGUGAUGAAUGCCAAAGAAUAGGUAAUAUUGGUAAGCGUCAAGAAAUGCCUAUGAAUUAUUCACUUGCUGUUGAACCAUUUGAUGUUUGGGGAUUUGACUUUAUGGGACCUUUUCCUUCCUCUAAUGGGUAUAUACAUAUUUUGGUUGCUGUUGAUUAUGUUACUAAGUGGAUAGAAGCUAUUCCAACCAGUAGUGAUGAUCACAAUACCUCUAUUAAAAUUCUUAAGGAAGUUAUUUUCCCAAGGUUUGGAUUCCCUAGAUAUUUAAUGAUUGAUGGUGGUCCACACUUUAUUCAUGGUGCUUUCUGUAAGAUGCAUGCUAAGUAUGAUGUUAAACAUAGAAUUGUGUCACCUUAUCAUCCUCAGUCUAGUGGUCAAGUUGAACAUAGCAAUAGAGAAAUAAAACUACUCCUGCAAAAGACUGUUAAUAGGUCCCGGAAGAAUUGGUUUAAUGAAUUAGAUGGUGCACCUUGGGCUUAUAGAACAGCAUACAAAAAUCCUAUGGAUAUCUCUCCAUAUAAAAUGGUUUAUGGAAAAGCUUGUCAUUUACCUCUUGAGUUAGAACACAAUGCAUUUUGGCUAAUAAAAGAACGUAAUUAUGAUUUCAAACUUGCUGGAGAAAAGAGGUUAUUUGAUAUUAUCUCAUUAGAUGAAUGGAGAACCCAGGCUUAUAAAAAUGCUAAGUUAUUCAAAGAAAAAGUUAAAAGAUGGCAUGACAAAAGAAUCCAAAAGCAUGAGUUCAAAGUCGGAGAAUAUGUUCUUUUGUACAAUUCUCAUUUCAGAUUUUUUGCAGGAAAACUCCUCUCCAAAUGGGAAGGACCCUAUGUCAUCGAGGAGGUUUACCCAUCCGGAGCUAUCAAAAUAGAUAAUGUCGAAGGGACUAACCCGAAGGUCGUCAAUGAGCAACGAAUAAAACACUAUAUCUCAGGUACGCCCAUUAAUGUAGAAAGCAAUGUUAUCCAAAUUUUGACACCGAAAGAACACAUAAGAGAGUCCUUCCAGAACACUCUAGGAUCAUGAAAAUAAGGAGGUACGUGAUACGGUAAGUAAACGGACUCUGAAAAAUUCACAAAAAUGUAUUUUGUCAGCUUUGGAAUAUUUAGAAAAAUAGGAAAAAAAGAAACUUCCAGGAAAGUGACCCUGGUGGGCACGAUACACUAGGGCGCGCCAGGCAUGCCUGGCGCGCCCAGGUGGGUUGUGUCCACCUCGAGUACUUUUCGGUAUCCAUUUUUCUUCUGUUCUGCUUGUUCUCCAAGAUAAACAAUCUAUAUAUACCUCCCGAACCUGUUAACCUUUGUAUCGUGGAGAAAUCUCUUGUUUUCUUUUCUUGCUGUUUUCUGUCAGAUCUGUUGACCCAGGCAUCAUGUCUUCUCCCUCCUCCAACACUAAAGAAGGCGAAGCUUGGUUGCUUCAGGUAGAAUCCAGGGAAGAGGAAUCUGAAGAGAUCGUUAUGGAGGAAGAUGAGGGGGAAUCAUUUGGGAUUCACCCUCCGGCCUCUGAGAGAGGGACUCUGGCUGGCAUCUCCACUCAUCCUAACCCCCAUCAAGCCAUGAGGCCCCUAAACAAUCAAGAGGGCCCAAGAGAUCAUGAAGAACUCCCUACAAGGAGGACUCUACACAGGUUACAUUGAAACAAUUUUCACAAUUUGAUUCAUAAGUAUGGGUUCGAAAACACUCCACAUGUGCAUAUAACAUCCAAUUGGGACAUAUCUUGUCCAAGAGAAAGUGAUGCAGGGACAAACUCUUGGGGUCCAGAAAAUAAGCAUAUCAUGGCUGGAGUAGAGAAUAACACUGAGCUGCUCCAUCAAGCUCUUCAAGAGAUUCAUAGCUUAAGAGAUAUGCUCAGAGAUAUAUUGGACAAAAUUGCUUCUACUUCAUCACCACCAAAAGAAAACUGAGUAUUGGGUAUGGGCACUCCGCUUGGAUUUCGCCAAGCAUGGGGGAGGUGCCCCGGUAUCGUAUCAUCUCCAUUAUCAUUUGCCUUUACUUUCUUAGUUUGAUCAAUGGUUAUCUUUUGCUAUUAGAUGAAUAAAAGUUUAGUUCGAUCCUUUCUUUUUCUGAGUUUGCUUAGUGAUCAAUCUUUGUAAUCGUGUGUGAGAUAUAAUUAAAUUAGUUUGAGUUUUGCCUUCUUUACUUUCUUGAUGCAAUAAAAAUAAAGGAAAUAAAAGAAAAAGAUCAUAUUCUAAUCUUAUGGUAAGUGAUGACAUUACACAAGGAAAAGUAUAAGUACAAAACUUUAUUGUAGAUUGACAAACAUGGCAUACGUCAAUGAUGCAACACAUGAAAGAAUUAAUAAGGGAAGAGAAGAUUCACAUAUAAAUACACUAUCAUGGAAAUCUUUUGUAAUUGUGAGCACCCAUAAAAAUAUUAUAUGCCAAAAUUGUUGACGUUGGACAAGGAAGACAACCUAAUGAUUUAUGUGUGUUCAUAUUCACAUAAAAGUCAUAUUGUCAUAGAUCCUUCAACAUGUGGUGCUUGCCCCUAUCUUCGCUAGCCAAAAAUUCCGCACUAAGUAGAGAUACUACUUGUGCAUCCAAAACCCUUAAACCCUAUCUUCUUUGAGAGUCCACCAUACCUACCUAAGGAUUGAGUAAGAUCCUUCAAGUAAGUUGUCAUCGGUGCAAAAAGGGCAAUAAAAUUUGCUUAUAAAAAUGUGAGAUCAUUUAGUGUAAGGGAAAAUUGAGCGUUGUACGAACUUGUGAUGGUGAAGAAUAAAAGCGACAGACCGCAUAAUAAAGGUUGCCAUCACAAGGGGCAAUAUAACGUGGCGUUCUCUUGCACUAAGGAGUUGAGCAUACAAACAAAAAGCGCAUGGAAACCUCUGCUUCCCUCUGUGAAGGGACUAUCUUUUACUUUCAUGUAUUUACUUUCAUGCAAGAGUCAAAGUUUUUCUCUCUAUUCCUUUUAUUUUUCUCCUUUGUCAAGCAUCAUGUGGUGAGGAAAGAUCUAGGCACAUAUUUCCAGUUGAAUAUGGAUAGCAUGAGUUAUUAUUGUUGACAUCACCCUUGAGGUGAGUGUGUUGGGAGGUGAAACUAUAAUUCCCUAUCUUUCUUUGUGUUCGGUUGAAACAUUUUGCUCAAGUGUACGUGGUGAGUGUUAGCAAUCAUAGAAGACUAAAUGAUGGUUGAGUAUGUGGACUUGCCUAAAGGCUCUGAUACGUGACCUUCUUGAAAAGAUGAUGAAUUGUAGUUGCAAAGUUGACUGAGAACAUAGUUUGUUGGUUUCCAAUAGAGUUUAUGCUUUAUACUUCAUUGUUGUGAUGAAUUGUCACUUGCUCAUGAGAAGUCUAUGAUAAAAGUUAUAUAAUAAAAGUUUUAUACUGAAGUUUGUUGUUGUUAUAAUAAGUCACAUGAUGCUGCUAUGUGCGUAUUUUUCUUUUUAUCGACACCUCUCUCUCUCUCUAAGCAUGUGAACAUGUUUUUCGAUUUCGGUUUUCGCUUGAGGACAAGCGACGUCUAAGCUUGGGGGAGUUGAUACGUCCAUUUUGCAUCAUGUUUUCCUACUGUUAUUUUUUUUUUAUUGUAUAAUAAUGCUUUUUGGAGUAAUUCUAAUGCAUUUUCUCUCAUAAUAUGCAAGGUAUGUACCAAGGGGGAGAAUUCUGGCAGCUGGAAAUCUGGACUUGAAAAAGCUACGUCAAGCUACCUAUUCUGCAUAACUCCAAAUGAGCUGAAACUCCCUGAGGAUUUUUUAUGGAAUAUUUAAGGAAUAUUGGAGCAAAUAAGUACCAGAGGAGGGCCACCAGGUGGGUAGUACCAAAGGAGGGCCACCAGGUGGGCACAACCCACCUGGGCGCGCCAGGAGGCCCAGCCGCGCCCUGGUGGGUGCUGCCCUCCUCGGCCCACCUCUGGUGCCCAUCUUCUGGUAUGUAAGUCAUUUUGACCUAGAAAAAAAUAAAGAGAGGACAUUCGGGACGAAGCGCCACCGCCUCGAGGCGAAACUUGGGCAGGAGCACUUUUGCCCUCUGGCAGAGCGAUUCUGCCGGGGGAACUUCCCUCCUGGAGGGGGAAAUCAUCAUCAUCAUCAUCACCAACAACUCUCCCAUUUUGGGGAGGGCAAUCUUCAUCAACAUCUUCACAGCACCAACUCCUCUCAAACCCUAGUUCAUCUCUUGCGUUCAAUCUUUGUAUCAAAACUAUAGAUUGGUGCCCGUGGGUGACUAGUAGUGUUGGUUACAUCUUGUAGUUGAUUACUAUAUGGUUUAUUUGGUGGAAUAUUAUAUGUUCAGAUCCAUUAUUCUAUUCAACACCCCUCUAAUCUUGAGUAUGUUUAUCAUUUGUGAGUAGUUACUUUUGUUCUUGAGGACGCGGGAGAAAUCAUAUUGCAAGUAAUCAUGUGAACUUGAUAUGUGUUUGAUAUUUUGAUGGUAUGUAUGUUGUCAUUCUCUUAGUGGUGUCAUGUGAACGUCGACUACAUGACACUUCACCAUAUUUGGGCCUAAGGGAAUGCAUUAUGGAGUAGUUAUUAGAUGGUGGGUUGCGAGAGUGACAGAAGCUUAAACCCCAGUUUAUGCGCUAUUCCAUAAGGGACCGAUUGAAUCCAAAAGUUUAAUGCUAUGGUUAGAAUUUAUUCUUAAUACUUUUCUCGUAGUUGCGGAUGCUUGCGAGAGGGUUAAUCAUAAGUAGGAGGUCUGUUCAAGAAAGAACGUCACCUAAGCACCGGUCCACCCACAUAUCAAAUUAUCAAAGUACCGAACAUGAAUUAAGCCAACAUGAUGGAAGUGACUAUGAAAUUCCCGUGUACCCUCAAGAACACUUUUCUUAUCAUAAGAAACCAUUUUGGCCUGUACUUUGCCUCAAAAGGAUUGGGUUACCUUGCUGCAAUUUUGUUACUACUAUUGCUACUUGCUCAUUACAAAUUAUCUUGCUAUCAAACUACUCCGCUACUUACAAUUUUAGCACUUGCAGACAUUACCUUGCUGAAAACCACUUGUCAUUUCCUUCUGCUCCUCGUUGGGUUCGACACUCUUACUUAUCAAAAAGGGCCACAAUUGACCUCAUACACUUGUGGGUCAUCAAUGGUGUGCCGAUCAAUUUAGCCUCGGUAAUCUUCUCGAGAUUCAUGCCUCGGUUAAUUAUUCUUUUACUUAAAACAUUAAUCAGGCAAACACUUUGUUUUCACUCAUAGGCCAACAAAGUUUGUCUUCGUCCGCCCACCAUCCAAUAUUAUUUUAAAUAUUAGGGUGGUAUCAAUGUUGGGCAGUACUACAAAUUCAUGGUGUCUUGUUACCAAAUUGAUGUAUUUUUAAGUACACUGACAUACAUCCUUUUUUUCACUUAAUAGGAGAAAAUCAAAUGGUUAAAUAUGGGUUAUGUCCUCUUACACUGAAACGUGAAUUGUUUUGCACUAUUACAUCUGACAAAGGAAGUCCUGGGUUAAAGGUAGUUCCAUGUCUAUUGGUGACGAUUGCGCUGGAAACCGGAGGUGGCAUCUUGGUCUUCUCCAUGCGAACACCACAUCUCCGACGAUGCAGCCACGGCCCGAGGGCGGCGAGCUGAUCUCCCAAGGCUCCUCGCUGACGCAUGACAAUGCCCACCUCAAUUAUCCGUUAUAGAAUUUAUGCUAUCAGUUGUUUGUAGUUGUGCUCUGAAUAGAUGUCCCCUACUUGUAGUAGAUAAUCAUACUUUGCUAUAAUACAUUGAACAGCUAGUGCUUCUAUGCGGGAACCCCACACAAAUUGUAAACAUGAAUAUGAAAUGGACGUUUACCAACCUGGCACCGCCCCAAUCACCUCUCAGGUCGCGCCAUAGGGUGGCGCCAGUUAAGGCUCGCUUGCCAAGGGCUAGUGGUUAAAGUCUCUUUUAUUGGUGCGGUACUGGUGAGUGCAAUGCGCGGUGCAGUAGCCUUGAGAGGCGUCCAAAGCGGCUUAGGAAGCGGCGCACCUGUGAAGCGACAAUGAACAUGGCUAAUGCCAACACUCAAAGGUGGGCUUCCCCUAAUUCCUUUAUGUAUAUAUGCAAGCUUGUGUGGUGUGCUCUGCUUCCUCCUCCCUAUUUUAAUUAAUGAAUCUAUUACUGAGCAGAGCAUGUGCUUUAGGUUCACACCAUAAAUGAUAUAGUUGAGAGAGUGCUCUUUUUUUGGCGGUUUUUGGUAAUGACUUACUAUUCUUCACAUAUUUGGAAAAGCCUAUGUAUUUACAUUUCUUAUGUCAAAUUGUGUUAUGUAAAUUAAAGGAGAACAAUGUAACUUUGCCUUUAAAUAUGAAAAAUACUUGCAUGCAACUAAAUGCAAUCUAAAAUUCAUAGCUAUAAAAGAAAGGCCUUGAUAUUCAAAUAACUCUCAUUUUAGAUCGUGUAGAGUGCAGGUGCUUACUAUCCUACUUGAAUGAACUAUGGCCAUGAAGGAAAUUUCCUAUUAGGAACACAUGCUAUGUUUGGUUAUGUGUGUCAUCUUAGUGUCAAAAGCAUCUAUGGAAUGCAAUGUGGACUGUUAAAUACUUCUUGAAGAGACAAUACUUGUUAUCUGUAUCCAAGUUUCUAACUGCAUUGGCAGGAGAAAAGUCUGGUUUCCGUUAAUGUAAUCUUCAAUACAUCUUUAUCUACUUUUUGCAACUUCGAACUUCAAAAAGUUAGUAAAAGAAGUAUGACCCAAUACUUAGUGCAGAUAAGAAAGUGAAAGGGAUGCAUCCCACCUGGCACCGCCUCAACUUCCUCUCAGGCGGGUGCGCCCCAACCACUAUAGGGACAAAGGUACUGCCCAAAAAUUGAAGAGAGUGUUAUAUCAUGGACAUUUUACUUGCUUCGUUACUUUGUUUCGUGUAAGAUUAUAUUUUGAUCUAUUAUGUCUAAUUGACCUAAACUUGCAAAGAUCUUGGGAAGAAUAAUUAGUUUCAGUAUAUAGACUAGAUUAUUUGCCAAACACAAUCUAAAAUAUAACCGGAUAUUUCUUUGUUGCAGAUUGUAAGGUUCAAAGAUAAAUAAUCUCAUCAAGUUUUUCUUGAACCGGAGGGUAGAGAUGUCCCUGAGUUAUAUCUACACAUCUCUCACUGCGCCUCGGUUCUGCAUAUGUCAUCGUUUUUCCUUUUUUUCACCAGUUUUCAGUCUGAUACUCCAAUAUCAACUGUUCUUAUCUAUGUUAUUUCUUGUGCAAAAAUGAUAUCUUCUGCAAUAGUUUACUCAAAACUUACAACCUCAUUGAUGGGUUCAUUUUGUUAGCAAAUGUUGUGAAAACAUUGAAAUCUAUGAUGGAUUGGAUGCAAUAGAAUAAGUUUGUUCAUAUUUCUUCAUAACUUUUAAAAUACAGUGUCCAGGUGUAGUUCAGUAAUUUUGACAUGUAUAUUGUUGUAGGUUGAGGCUGUAUGAACGAAGUGAACACAAGGUAAAAGGCAAUGGCAAUUGUCAGUUAGUAUUUAGUGCCAUACUCACAUGAAUAAUUACUUUCAUUUUGUUGAAAUAAGCAUUAUAGGCUGCCAUACUACAUGCAUACAUUUGAUCAUAAGCAUGUUCAUUAGCUAAUAAAGAUAUUUGUAUCUGUUUCAUAUCGGAUAUCAUCCCAUUGAUAUUCUCUAACAGCAACGAUAUACUCCCUCCAUUCCUAAAUAUAAGUCUUUUUAGAGAUUUCAAAUGGACUACAACAUACGGAUGUAUAUAGACAUACUUUAGAGUGUAGAUUCACUCAUUUUGCUCCGUAUGUAGUAUUCGUCAUGCGGCAAUGAGAAGAUCCUCUCGGUGAGCCCUCUCCCUCUUGUUUCACUAUAUGAUUUAGGUUGUGACUAACAAAGACUAUAUUUGGCGAGAUUGUGUUUUGUUCAUAUACAUAUGUUGGGCAACAUACAUUGAGGAGUUCAUUUGCUUCCAUUUCUGUUCGUUAUGGUGGAUUGAUUAGGUUAAUUUAGUUGAUUACCUGGAUAACCAAUAGGUGUUCAAUGGAUUUAAAAUUUUAAUUGUUAAAAAAUGACCGAGAUGAGAUAUAUGUCGACACAAUGCCUGGAUUGGUCCAAUAAAGUGUUCAUUUUCCAUAGCACUUCUUUUUCUUAGUAGUUGUAGAGGAUAUUUGGCAUAGAAGUUGUUCAACUAAAAGAAGUACGGAAAGCUAACAUGUGGUCAUGGUAUCAUGUUUUUUAUCUCUCGAGUUGGUGCCCACUCUGCACUUAUUUAAACGAUCCAUUUAUGUCUUUCUCCCUUGUGUAAACAAGCAUGCGCAUGUGUGCAGAACUAUAGAUGGUCAUAUGAAAAUGCUCUUAUUCCUUGCUAUGCUGUAGUUUUUUGCGACGGAGCAAAAUAGCGAAAGUGGUCUGGUAAAUGCUCUUCUAGCUGCGUUUUUUCUUUUAUUACCUUUCUCCAGUUAAGAUAUCAUCUCAAAGUGUUUACAUUUGGCUGCUAAAAACACAGGUAAUUUGGCCAUAUGAGUUUCUUUCUUUUAGAGACCACACAAUAGAACAACAAUGGGUUCCAGUUUUUUGUUUAUGCAAUUCAUCUUCUUGCAACUUUCUUUCCUUUGUUUAUGCGACCGAUAUCUACAUCUACGCUAACUAAUUGUCAUAUUCAUUUGACGAUAAAGUUAACCCAUCCAUUAUUAUUCCUCUUAUUUUUGGUUGCUUUAUGCUAAGAUCUUGCCCCCGUCUCUAAGCUUGUUGAUUUUGUAGGGUUCUUAUGAAUCAUGUUGGUCGUUUAGCGCGUCUAGGGCAUUGGAGUGGGCCAACUACAUGAUGGGCAAAAUGGAUGCACCCUCCAAGCAACAGUUGAUCGGCUGCGACCAUGAGGUGAGGCUCUUUUUCUUUGGUCGUUCUAUUAAGCACGAGCUAGUGUUAAUAAGAAUGAAAUCUGAUUUAGUGUAACCCGAAAAGAUCUUUAUUUGUGCUUCAUAAAGUCAGAUUAGUUUUGUUAUUUCAGUUCUAUGAUUUGUAGGUCACUAUACUAACGCAUGGUACUAUAAUCAUGUGGUACAAAAAAGUGGUUUGUCUAUACCAAAGAUUAGUGAUUUAUGUCAAAAAUUUCUGUUGGGGUAGAGCAAUUUGCUUUAGGUUGGCCUCCGCUAAUUAAUUCAGACAUAGUAACAUUGAUUUGUUGUUUCUUUUUGGUUCCUCACACAUUUUCAUAAUGUUGAGACAAUCGGAACAUUGCAUAUGAUGGUAAGCAAGUUCUGCAAUACACCUUUAUUCAUGCAAUUACUUUUUGGAGCAUUGUUCCUGCAUCUAAACUCAAAUCAUAUAUGAUGCAAGCAAGCAUAUGGACGAGGAGGCCGAGCCAUCCAUGAACCCCUCGCCUUCUGGGGCAGAGAAGGACAAGAAGGAGCAUUUCACAAUGCGUAGGGCAUCACGAGCAACCUGAGCCAUUAUCAUCUAUAUAAUCCCUUACGUAACCUCCAAGACUGCUGCUUGUGUCACAACAUGUGCCUCUUAAUAUCUAAUGAUCUAUGAAGUCACUGCUUUUCUCUUAGAGAUGAUCCGUUGUCUGAAUGUGUUACAUUUGUACUGCUUUCUCUUAUAGUUCAGGUCAGGAAGUUGCACACACAUAUAUUCUUGUGCUUUCAGUUUGGCUUUAUAACAAUGAAUAGUACAAAUAGAAUAGUUACGGUAUGAUAUAAGUGUGUCAGCUACAUGUGUUGCAUUUUUGUUGGUUUGUUCUACUAUAGAUGCUAGUUUCUUCACAAAAAAUCACAUAAUACACAAAGCACAUUCCUCAGUGCAAAUAGGAGAGUGGAAGGGACGACUCCUACCUGGCACCGUCCUAACUUCCUCUCAGGUGGCGCCACCAGGUGGCACCCCAAUCCCUAGUCUCCAUUAUCCAUCUCAGUUGGCAAAUGCAGUUGAGUGUCACAAUAUUUUAAUUCAAAUCUUGACCUUUAUGACGCAAAUAUUUCGCCGACAUUUCAAACUUAUUGUUUUCAAAUUCACAAAUUCAAAUUAGAACACAACAUAUUAUCCAAAUGAAGCCAAUAUUCCAAAUAAAAUGAUGGAAAGAUCCUACGGAGCCUUCUCGUUGCACCACUCUCCAUCAGCUUCUGUCAUGGCAUCUGCAUUGGGUGCUCUCGUGUACUCCUCUUCAAAGAACUAAUCACACCUCUGUAAAUUUGUUCACACGGAUGAUGACAAGAUAUUCUCCAAUGCGGGCAUAUUCAUCUACAUACCUUUUUUUAGUCUAAUAUUCAUCUGCAUACUUACCCAAAACUCUAUAUGCAUUGCCAUGACACACUUCUGAAUUGCACUUGCGCCAAGCUAUCCAAUUGCAUUCCUCUUCUGAUGAACAGACCAUCAUGCUAUUCAACAACAAUUACCAUGCUUAUAAAAAUCUCCGUCGACAUUAUGAAAUGUCUCCUAAAACGUAUACAUAGCGCAAGUAUCCAAACAUGAUACCAUGCAAACAUGCAUCACGUGAAAUUAAGAUUUAGCGAUAGGCAUAACACACAUGAAUUGUUCACGAGGUCUAGAAGUGCAUGAAUUGUUUAAGUCUACGGAAGCUGGUUGUAGGAGAAGGGUGGGAUGGGAGAGCAGAGGCGGCGAAGAAAGAGGAGACCCGAUACAGAGUGCUCAAUCAAUCGGGGGCAUGGAGUGAACGAUGACAACAAGGACAACAGAGGGCAAGACGACAUGGUGAUGUGAGAGAAAGUAGUGCACUCGAUCGGUCUGAUGGCGUGUAUGUGACUGAUCGGGGAAGGAUGAGGGGAGACGAACCACCAAAUUAGUAGUAAUGUGCAUUACCAAGAUGAAAAGACCAAAUUACCCUUGAGAAUGGACAGCUAGACUUCUCUGGUACUCUCGCAUACCAGGGUACCGUAAAAAGUCUCUUGUCUGAAACUUGAAGGAAUUUCACCCCUACUUUCUAGUCAUUCCAAGUCAAAUACAUAGUUAUCUCACCAUGUGUAUGACCACCAGAACCUUGGUCCAUCUUCAUGUCUCGUGCAUACCACACCCCAUAUCGCUAUUACUACAUCGAGUUUGUGCUACUCCGGUCAAGUCUCCACCGCCGCGAACCCACACGACUUAAUCCCCACUGCAAAGUACCAAUAAUCAUCACCGAUCAAUGAUGGGUUACACGUAUUCCUCAGGUCUACCGACAAGUAUGCACACGAGCGACAACUACGCAAUCACUAGCAUGCUCAUGGACACUGUUUCGGGGUGCGGGAACCGCUACUCGCGAGAGCACCAAGGCAAACAACCAACGCAGCUGCUCAUGAUCCACAUGGGCGACCACGGCGAGGUCCUCAUGGACAAGGUCAUUCAAGCGAUCGAGCUACUCAACGAGCCAGCCCCGGCAGCGACGAACCAAGAAUGUUGUGUGCUCUCGACACAUCUGUCUCUGGCGUGAAGUGUCGUGCACUAUCCGCCUCCGCGCUCUGGUGGGAAACCAAGUCAUGCUCCACCUCUCGACUCUGGCUGCACUCACAGGUUCAUCCCGAUGUCCUUUGCGAAGUGCAUCACUGCCAAUACGAUGCCCCUACCGGCGGUGGGACUAUGGGUGGCCAACGGUGAACACUUGAUCUGUGAAAAGCGUGUUCCACACAUUAAGUGUGGUUGCAGGGAACACAUUCACCGCCAACAUGUGACUACUUGCACUAGGUGCAUAUGAUAGAGUACUGGGUAUGGAUUGGCUGAAGUUGUUCACCCUGAUGAGCGGGCCAUGUUUGAGCAUCAAGGUGGCACUAUCACACAAGGUGUUUGAAACAAUGUCGUGCAGUCCCUGGAGGCAAUUAAACUGGAGCGGUUCAACAAGUGGCAGGCCAGCAAUGAUAUCUAGUAAAUGGCGUUGGUCGACAGGCAACAACACCAAGGAGACAAGAACGACAAGUUGCCUACAAGCAUUCAAGUGGUGCUCAAUGACUACGACAUUUUGGAGAGCCCAAGGAGCUCCCUCCACAUCGACAGUACGACCACGCAAUCACGUUGGUCAGUUGUGCGCAACCAGCAAACCCAAAACCUCACGGCCACUCGCCCCUGCAAAAGGACGAGAUCAAGCGGCAAGUCUGAGACAUGCUGCAGUCUAUGGUGAUCUCACAUAACAUGAGCCCAUUUGCUGCCCCAGUCCUCUUGGUCAAGAAAAAGGACGGAUCUUGGCGAUUCUGCAUCGACUACUAUCGUCUCAAUGACAUCACCGUGAACAACCGAUUUCCACUGUUGAUCGUCGAUGAGCUACCCGUUGCUACUUACUUCUCCAAGCUGAACUUGCGAGAGAGCUACCAUUAGAUCCGCAUGCGGGAGAGCGACAAGGAGCAGACUGCGUUUAAAACUCACCACGACCACUUUCAUUUCCGUAUCAUGCCUUUUGGUCCAACGAAUAUGCCAGCCAUGAUUACAAUGCCUGAUGAACCAUAUCUUCACCAAGUAUGUGCGCAUAUUCAUGAUUAUUUUUCUGGAUGACAUCUUGGUGUAUAGCACCAUGUUGCAGAAACAUGAGGAGCGUCUACUAGCGGUGUUCGAUCAACUCCGUCAAAACCAUCUCUACGCCAAAAUGUCCAAGUGUUUGUUCGCCAAGGACAAGAUCAGCUACCUAGGGCACGUCACCUCAUGCGAUGGCGUCACCAUGGACACAGAGAAGACAUGUGCUAUGUUCAACUGACCAAUGCCAUCCACGUCAACAAAGCUGUGUAGAUUUCUCGGCCUCGGUGGCUACUACCGGAAGUUUGUGGCGCGCUGUUAGAUAAUAACAAGAAAUAAACGAGACACAAGAGACACAUAUUUUUACGUGGAAACCCUUGCGGGAGAAAAACACGGACGCAUGAAGGCGCAAUCACUAUGAGGAGGAGUAUUACAAGCACGAGACGACAUAUCGUCUUAGGUGCGACUACAUGGGGGAUAUAUGAGGGGCAACACAUAAGAGUCCUUGUAGGACAAGUAAACGAGUUGUACUCGUUCGUGUCGGUACCAACCAAGGGCCCACGUCAUAUGUACUACGUCUAGUCCAAUACGGUAGAAUUUGGAUCACAAUUUAACAAUCUCCACCUUGAGUCAAAUUCCCUCCAAUAGCCGAAGAAAGUGAAUAACUCCAUCCAAAUCAGCAUAAACACCUUGUGCGUCAAAGUCCAUAGGACUAAAGAACUACCAACUAAGCCUGAGCAAAUCUCAAACUUAUUGGUCGGAACUGGCUUUGUCAUCAUAUCAGCAGGAUUAUCAUGAGUACUUAUCUUGCAUACCUUCAAAUCACCUUCAGCAACAACAUCUCGAAUAUAGUGAUAUCUGACAUCAAUGUGCUUUGUUCUCUCAUGAUACAUUGGAUUCUUUGAAGAUAUAUAGCACUUUGACAGUCACUAAAUACGGUAGGGCAAGAUGAAUCUCCACAAAGCUCAGUGUAUAAACCUCUCAACCAGAUAGCUUCUUUGCAAGCCUCAGAAAUAGCCAUAUACUCGGCAUCAAUAGUGGAACAUGCCACAAUAGAGUGCAAAGUUGCUCUCCAACUCACAGCACAACCACCAAUGGUGAAAACAUAACCUGUGAGUGAUCUUCUCUUAUCCAAAUCACCAGAAAAAUUAGAAUCAACAAAACCAACAAGUUCAUCUCUAAUUUUCCCAAACUGUAAAUAAGCAUUAGAAGUACCUCACAGGUAUCUGAAAAUCCACUAAACUGCUUUCCAAUGCUCUUUUCCAGGAUUAGCCAUAUAUCUACUGACAACGCUCAAUGCAUAAGAUAAAUCCGGACGAGAACAAACCAUGGCAUACAUAAGUGAACCAACUGCACUUGAAUAGGGAACUCUAGACAUGUACUCAAUAUCGGAAUCUGACUUAGGACAUAAAGCUGAUGACAAUUUGAAGUGUGCAGCUAAUGGAGUACUUACUGGCUUGGCAUUAUGCAUAUUAAAAUGACGAAGAACUUUAUCAAUAUAUCCCUUCUGACUUAGAUAUACCUUUUCAGACAGUCUAUCUCUGGAUAUUUCCAUGCCAAGAAUUUUCUUUGCUACACCCAAAUCCUUCAUCUCAAAUUCAUUACUCAAUUGCUUCUUUAAUUCAUUAAUCUCUGACAUACUCUUUGCAGCAAUAAGCAUAUCAUCAACAUAAAGGAGCAAAUAAAUAGUUGAACCAUUGACGAUUCACAAAUAAACACAACUAUCAUAGUUAGACCUUUUGAAACCUUGAGAGAGCAUAAAGGUGUCAAAUCUCUUGUACCACUGUCUCGGAGAUUGCUUCAAUCCAUAAAGAGAUUUCUUUAACUUAUAGACAAGCUUUUCUUUUCCAGGAAUAACAAAACCUUCAGGUUGUUCCAUAUAAAUAUCCUCUCCUAAUUCUCCAUGUAAAAAUGCAGUUUUAACAUCCAAGUUCAAGCUCAAAAUCAUGCAUGGCAACAAUACUGAGUAAAGUGCGAAUAGAGUUAUGCUUCACAACAGGAGAAAAGACUUUGUUAUAGUCAAUACCUGGAAUAUGGCUAUAACCUUUAGCAACUAACCUUGAUUUAUAUCUUGUCUCAUCAUUAGGAGAAACACCUUCUUUCCUCUUGAAAACCCACUUGCAAUGAAUAGGUUUCUUCUCUCUAGGCAAUUUUAAUAAAUCCCAAGUGCCAUUCUUUUCAAGUGAUUCCAUCUCAUCAUGCAUAGCGGUCAUCCACUUAUUACUAUCAUCAAAAAUAAUAGCCUCGGAAUAUGAAGAAGGCUCAGCAUUACCUUCAAUUUCUUCUGCAACAGAUAAAGCAAAAGAAACAAUAUUGCACUCUUCUAUUAACCUGUCAGGUUUAUUAAUACCCCACCUAACUCUGUCACGUGCAAGAUUCCAACUGGGUGAAACAAUAGGCUGAUUUCGAGUGGGAGUGACAUGUUCAUCAUCAACGACGGGUUCAUCAUGUGCAUCAAUAAUUUCAUUACCAAAUGUAUCACCUGUUUCAAUAACAUGCUCCACCUGAACAGUAGGCUGCUGAAUAGUAGGUUGUUGUUCACUCUCAACAGGAACAUUAGUAGAUGGAACAUCAUGUAACAUAGCAGAUUCAUUAAAGAUAACAUUUCUGCUAAUAACCACCUUCUGGGUUUCAGGAUUCCACAAUUUAAAACCUUUAACACCAGAUUUAUAACCAAGAAAGAUGCACUUAACAGUCCUAGGCUCCAACUUUUCAUUAUCAGCAUGAGCAUAAGCAGUGCAACCAAAAACUCUCUACUGUGAAUAAUCAGCAGGUGAACCAGACCAUACCUCAAUUGGAGUUUUCUUAUUAAGAGCAAUAGAUGGUGAACGGUUAAUGAGAUAACAAGCAAUGGAAGUGGCCUCAGCACAAAAAUGCCUAUGCAAACCUGCAUUGGACAACAUGCAAUGGGCUCUGGAAAUAAUGGUCCUGUUCAUACGCUCAGCAACUCCGUUUUGUUGAGGAGUAUAAGGAACGGUGUAAUGUCUGACAAUGCCUUCAGACUUGCAAUAAUUCUUAAAUUUCUUAGAACAGAAUUCCAUACCAUUAUCAGUGCGAAGUAUCUUUACCUUCUUUUCAGUUUGUCUUUCAAUCAUAAUCUUCCACCCCUUAAAUGAUGAGAAUGCUUCAUAUUUAUGCUUCAAGAAAUAAGGCCAAACUUUUCUUGAAUAAUCAUCAAUAAUAGUCAGCAUGUAACUUGCACAACCUAAUGACUUCUUGCAAGAUGGUCCCCAUAAAUCAGAAUGGACAUAAUCAAGAAUACCUUCAGUUGUAUGAGUCGAAGUGUUGAACUUCACCCUCUUGUGCUUGCCAAAGAUACAAUGCUCACAAAAUUUCAAUUUACCAGGUUCAUAUCCAACAAGAAGACAUCUCUUAUUUAACUCUGUCAAACCAAGUUCACUCAUAUGUCCAACGCAUAUGCCAAAGGUUAGCAGCAUCACAAUCAGAAUUCUUUGAAACAACUGGAGUAGCAUUACCUGAAACGGUUGAACCUCGAAGGUAAUAAAGACCAUUGGUCGAACUUAAAUCACCUUUCAUCACAAUAAGGGAACCUUUGGUGACUUCCAAAACACUAUCUCCACCAGAAUACUUGUACCCCUUUGCAUCAAGGGCACUAACAGAGAUAAGAUUUCUCUUCAUCUUCGGCAUAUACCGAACAUCUGUCAAAGUUCUGAUUGUGCCAUCGAACACCUUGAUUCGAACGGAACCUAUGCCUUCAAUCUUGCAUGGUGAAUUAUCAAAACCCAAAACGGAACUAGCAGAGGUAGUAGAAUCAAAAGUAGUAAAACAAUCUCUAUGGGACACAUAUGAAAAGUGCAUGGAGUGUCAAGUACCCACUCAUCAUUGGUCUCAACACAUCCAGCAAUAACAACAAGAGCAUCAUCAGAACUAUCAUCACGAGCAACAUUAGCAGAAUUAUCACCUUGUUUGUUACCUUUCCUCUUUUCUUUAUUUUGCAACUUGAAACACUCUGAGAUGUCAUGCCCGUCUCUCUUGCAAUAUCUACAAUACUUCUUGUCUCUGGAUUGCGACCGGCCCCUGUAGACGUUCUUACUUUUGCCUCUAUUUCCAUUAUGUGAGUUCUUCUCCUUUAUCCUUUCAUGAACAGAUAAUCCCUCGGCUUGGGAUGAACUUGAACCAUCAUGAGGCAUCAUUAAUUUAAUCUUCUCCUUAGAGUUCAAAGCUUCAUAAACUUCAUUAAGUGUGAGAGUAUCACGACUGUAUAAUAUGGUGUCUCUAAAAUUGGUAUAAGAACUUGGCAGUGGACAAAGUAACAUUAAAGCAGUAUCUUCCUCUUCAUAUUUAACCUCCAUUGCAGCUAGAUCAGAUAUGAUCUCUUUAAAUUCUGAAAUAUGAUUCAAAACAUUACCUCCCUCGGGUAACCUGUGCAGGAAUAAUUUUUGCUUCAGAUGCAUCUUGCUGGUGAGAUAUUUAGUCAUGCAAAUCCCUUCCAAUUUUAACCACAGAGUGGCGAUAGUUUUCUCGCUCAAAACUUCCUGCAAAAUAUUAUUAUGCAAAUGGAGUUGAAUUUGUGACAAAGCCUUACAAUCAAUUUUUUUCUCCUCAUCAGUCCAGUCCUGAAUUCUAUUCUUCGCAAAACUAUCCAGUGCUUCAUCAUAGUCGGACUGUGCCAACAACGCCCGCAUCUUGACUUGCCAUAGGGUAAACCUUGUGUCUGGUCCAGCGGCAGAAGAUCGUAUUUCAUGGAUGCUAUGAGUCGAUAAAACUGUGUACACAAAGUAAUACAAGCCGAUAGAAAAUUCUUGACAGAAUUAAUUUGCGGAGUAACGAAGUUGAAAAUGUAGCACCUGGUAGAUGUUCGGGUGGAUGUAGCAAUUGAUCAAAAAAUAUCUGAGCUAGUAAACAACUAGCAACCUUCACGUAGCAGUACUAGUUUAAGUACUUGCUUACUCUGGUCUUCACGUGUAGCACGGCAACUCGGUGGAUGAGGUGAUGCCUCGGAACUUGAGUCUUGCACGUGCAGCAAGGCGGCAACUCGACGAAUCAGACAACGACUGCAGCCUUGGUGAUUUCGAAAGUAGCAGCGGGUAAUUGAUUAGCGGCUGGACAGAUCGCUCCUCACGGAGCACCUCGGUUGCGCGCGGCUAUAAAGAACCAGCGGAACUCCAAACUGUUGUCGGUCUCGGCAAAUCGAUCUGGCUUCGGAUCGCCAGGUCGCGUCGGCGGCGCAGAACGCCAACCUAAUUUUUCUCGUCUCAACGAACUCGUAUGUGUAACUUGGCUCUGAUACCACUUGUUAGAUAAUAACGAGAAAUAAACGAGACACAAGAGACGCGGAUUUUUACGUAGAAACCCUUGCGGGAGAAAACCACGGACGCACGAAGGUGCAAUCAAUAUGAGGAGGAUAUUAUAAGCACGAGACGACAGACCGUAUUAGGAUGCGACUACAUGGGGUAUAUAUGAGGGGCAACACAUAAAAGUCCUUGUAGGACAAGUAAACGAGUUGUACUCGUUCCCGUCGGUACCAACGCAAAGGCCCACACCGUAUGUACUAUGUCUAGUCCAAUAGGCAGAAUUUGGAUCACAAUUUUAACACGCGCUACGGCUUCAUCGCCAUGCCACUGGAAAAUCUCUUGACGAAGAAAGGAUUCGAGAGGACUGCGCAAGCUCAGACGGCCUUCGAUCUUCUCAAGAGCGCCAUGGCAAGUGCUUCGGUGCUCACCCUACCGGAUUUCUCGAGCCCUUUCACUUCUACUCCCUCCAUUCCUAAAUAUAAGUCUUUUUAGAUAUUUUAAUAUGGACUAUAUACGGAGCAAAAUGAAUGAAUCUACUCUUUAAACUAUGUCUAUAUACAUAUGUAAGUAGUUCAUAUUGGAAUCUCUCAGUGGCGGAGCUCUCAGUCAAGGUUCGUAUUAAGCUUUCGCACCCGUUGAUUGUGGAUUCUCCUCUGUUGUGCCGUGGAGUUUGAUACGCACGCCGGUGCGGUGCGUUAGGUUGCUUGUAGAGUCUUGGUAUUGUGAUCCUUCGACGUACCCCUCAUCUAUUUGGUCCUGUUAGUCUGCUAGCUAGAUCAUGCCUUUUGUUGGGCAUCCCUGUUCUUCUCUUCUUGUAACAUUUGUUCUUGUAUGGUUUUCAGUCCGGUUUUCCUUAUUAACACGGUAAAUUUGUUAAGGUUUUCGAUCUGAUAUUCCUUAUAAACUAGAUCACUCGUCUGGCAUUAUGGCCAGUUUGAGUAAUAUAUUUAGGUGGAGGGACUCCUCCGGUGAUUCUAAAAAAAACAUAUUGAAAUAAAGACUUAUAUUUAGGAACGGAGGGAGUAGUUCAUACCAUGAGGCUGGCCUGGUCAGCCAUCUUCAAAUCAGUCGGACAGAAAAAACUGCUGCCAAUUCAUCUUUUGAGAUAUAAUAAAAAGUUGAAUCCAUUACAAACUUGGGUCAUGCCUCUUGUCCAAUUGGUACCACAACACACACCAAACCCAACAAGCGUACAUGCCAACUGAAUUAAUGUCCAAUCUGAAGAGCCUGAAUGCGUGAACACGACGUAUGAAACUACUAUGAAUCAAGUUCUAAAAUAUUAUCCUUUUUAAAGUUUGGCAAUGCAUGAGCAUGAAUCGAUCAGUCAAUCAACCUUGGAUGAUUCUUGGUCGUUGUUUUCAUCCAUGGACGCGGACCGCCACCGCCGGCUCAGCAUCCUGGGAAGCCGGAUCACCGAGUUCACCCGAGCCACCCCUUCCAGCGCCCUCCACACAGCCGUCCCCUCCUCCGCCUCACCGCCGCCCAGAGCCUUGCGGAAACUCCCGGUGAACGAUAACACAGGUGCGUGAGGCGGCUUGGUCGUGCUGUCUUCCUCAGAUGAAAUGGCUGCUGGCUUCAGGAAGAGGCAGACAGCCGCGCAGUCAUCGACCAUCGACGUCGGGAACUUGCGCCGCCACGCGCGAACCGCCCGGUCCACGAGCUGCUUUGCCGCCUUUGAGCGGUCGGAGGCCGACGAGACGAUCUUGACCACCUCCUUGUUGGAUAGCACGUCCCAUAUCUGCAACACUGUGUGGUUAGAUAAGAAGAUACAGAGACGAGUCUACUUCAGUUAACAGUUGCUUGAUGUCAGCCUGAUCAUAAAGGAUUUGAUUUAUGUUAUCUUAAUUUAAGUUGCAAUAGUGUCAGGAACUGUUCUUAACUAAAGGAAGUUGGAGCAUGAUUGGAAUGUAAUGGACAUGAAACUAGAGGAAAUCCACUCUUGUUACCCCAUCAGUGGCAAGCACCAAGAAGUCAUCCUUUUCUGACAGCUUCCUGUAGUACACUUCGGGUGUGCAGAUGAGACCAUGGUUCUUGAGGCAGAAGUCUCCGAAAGCCCUUGCCAUGGCGAGGCCCGGCGCGUCCUGGUCCGGCAACCACAGCCUAGGCACGUCGGGCUCAUCGUCCAUGGCGAAGAUUCUCCCCUUGCAACUCAGGAUCCUCUCAGCCUCACCUACGACAAGUCCAGAAGAUACAUUGCAAGUUGCAGUUAACAAGUGUACGUACCACCUACAGGCAAGUAUGACAUGAGAAAUUCAGAGGCUGACCAGGAAGAUCUGGCUUUAAGUCGGUGGUGAUUUGCACCGAAACCGGGCGGCCCUUGCUGUCCCGCGCGCAGAGAACAGCGCGCGAAUCGCCUAAAUUUGCAACGAUCAAGUGAUCACCCUGUAUGCAAAAAAUAGCAACAAUUGAAACUUUCAAAUAUACUUCUAAAUUUCAAGUGAACAUUUCGGUGCUUUGGCCGAAAUGCAAACUGGAACCACUGAAAUUCGGUAAUUUCGGUAGGUGCUGAAAUAUUUCUGAAACUGAAAUUUAAAACCAUCUAGUAUCUAUUACCUGCCUAACGACGGUGACAGCAGUGGUGCCACUGCAAAGGCAGUCGAUCCCGGAAUGCUGCCUCAGCUCCUCGUCGACGUCCUCGAACGCCUUCACGAUCAAGCUCUUCCACGAGGACAGCAGCUGGUGCUCUUCGCUGGUGUCGCUGGACGAGGUGCAAUCCGACUUGUCGAACGAAUCCAUGUCCGCGUUGCUGUUGCUGGAGAGGGCGUCGUCUUCAGCUCUCGGUGCCAGAGAGGCGGACAGCUUCUUGGGAAGGGAGUCUCGGACAUGCCGUGCGACGUCCCGGCCGAGGGGCCCGUGCCCGUCGAAGACUCCGCAGAAGAUCUGGCCCUUGUGCCCGGCGAAGUCCUGAUCAUCUUGACACAUCAAGAUUAUCUUAUGUCUCAAGUAAAUUUUGCACAUAAUCUAGCAGCUAGGCCAUACUGAUACUAUCUGCCACGGAUUUCAGUUUCUAAUGCUGCAUUCAUGCUGAUAUUAGUACACUGGUGAGCAAUAAAUAUGUCAUGAGACUAAGUAGAGUACGUACUACAUAGGAGAUCAGGGCAAUGGUGAGCAAUCAAGAUGGUGAGGUACAUGUGUGGUGAUUACAGUAUCUCAGGUGUAUUGCAGGUUCCAAAGUUUUUCAGUUUGAGCAAAGCUAGUAGCAGAGAUGGACCUAGUACUACUGCAAAAAGCUGCCGAUUCAACUUGCAGCGAAGAAAAGAACAUAUCUCCCAUGGCUACAAGGAAGGGGAGGGAAGGAAAGGAAAGCUUGACCUUACCUGGCAGGCGGCCAUGGCGUCCUGGUUGACGCCUUUCCACCCUUGCUUGGUGUGCAUGGACACCCCGGCGGCGCCGGCGAGCUGCUCCUGCAAGAAGUCGUCGUGCUUCCAGGGGAACCACCCCUCCGUCUCCUCGAGCUCCCUCCCCCCUCCUUCCCUGCUGCAGCAGAUCCCCAUUGCCGCAGCCAAAUCUCGGCAGCUACCUAGAACCUAGCUAGCUCGCUCCUGCAGCUGCAAGCAGAGGUGCACGGAACGGGAUGGGCAUCUCGGAGUUUAAUGCGCGCGGGCGGGCGUGUGUGCGCGUGAGCGAGCGAGCGAGAGAGUGGGGUGAAUGGAUGUUUAUCUUGCCAUUUAUAGCGUUGGGGCGCCAUUAAUGGCGAGAGGACAUGGGCGCCCCGUCCUGGAGGUAGAUGGGGACGGACGCCGCUAAUGGUGGUGACGCGGCCGCAUUCAAUGCUCCUCAGCAACUCUUGUUGCCUGUAGCUGUGGGCGCCAACGUGAGAUGCCUGCCUCCUGCGCCCGUCGUCGUCUUCAAUGCGCAUCUCACUGGCUCUGGCUCUGGCUGGGCGUCAGAGGAGGCUCACCUGUCUCUCCAUGAAAAUCCUUGCGAGUUUGCAGUGCCAUAACGCGCUUGGUACCGCUCGCCGCUCGCCUAACGUCCAUGAAUUCUGAGCUCUAGCCAGUGUUGCAGUUUGCAGGUAGCAGCGGUCGCUGCCAAAGUGCCUUGUUUGGGCUAGGCCUGAUGAUAAUUCUUGGCCCGGACAAGUCUGAUCUGAAAAUGUCAAAGCCUGGCCAGGCCCGGCCCAACCCAACAUAUGUGAAAAAUGUCUUUUCCUUCUUAAUUUAAUGACACGCUAGGCGUCAUCCGGCAUGGAUCAAUUGGCGAUUAAGUAUGGCCAGUAGGAGCCAAACGACUAUAGUGGCGAAAAUAUAAACCGCCUCUACAGCCAUUCGAUAAGGCAGUGUGUGACCCUCUGAUCGUCUUCCGUUCUCUUGUAGCUUGCACAAUCAACACCACUUGUCGAAUUCAAAAAAAAAAAAAAACACCACUUGUCAUCCUGUCCCGUCACAGCGUUGAUCGUACUUGCACAAGCACAGCCCAUGCUAGCAGGCAACCGCCACCACCGUCGCAGCGUCGACCAUCGCUUUGCACCUUGUAGCCUGCUCGUAGCAUCCGUCGUUGCCGACAUUGCAGUGUCGCCUGAAGUUCUGAUGGUCCCUUGCGUCACCACCGACAUUCCCCUCAAAGCUUCAAUGAUUCCCGUCGCCGGAGGCUCAUGGGCCGUCCAAUUGGCAACACAUCAGAUGGACCGCAUGUUGCUUCGCUUCUCCCAGCAUCACACAAAUGCAGCAUCUCGCCAGCCCACAGCUCGUGGACUAUCAUCACCGGCGGUAUCGCUGGUCGCUGGCACUGCUUCACAACAUCACCAGCAGCAUCGCCAGCCGCGUUGCAGCAUGACUGCAUCCUUCGCAACAACAGGUGGUGAUGCUCACCUAUAACCCCUCACCCGCACGCAGCAUGCUCCUCUCCCUGCACGGCCGCCCUCGGAAGCAUCAUCGAACAUGUCAUAGCAUAUCAGCGACCUUGCAACAAUAGGGUUUGGUGCUCAUGCGAAAGACACUCUUUCUCACUGUCUCCACCCCAAUUGUCGUCUCCCUCACUGUUCCGGCAUGUUCCGCCGUCCACCACCGCGAUGGAUCCAUCAUUGGAUGACCUAACGGAGAUGAUCAUUAUCCCGCCAAAGUCGGAGGACCGGGUGGCGGUGGACGCCCGUAAGGCUGCGUUCUCGGAAUGCAUCAAGGAGGAUGAAUUGUUGUGUGAGGCAUAGUAUCCAUGUUUGGUUUCACAAGAGAAAGCACUACGAUCCCUACCAUAAGGAAGUGGUCCAUCAACGCAAUGGAAGUCGCUCACCAAUCGAUGGUACACCAUUCAAGAGCGAGUCAAAAAGUUUUGCGGCCUCUACAAUCAAGUGAAAAUCCGGUGGCCAAGUGGCACACAAUCCAACAGCUCGUAAGUUUUGUGACUUGUUCAACUUGUUGACCCUCCAUUGUCUUCAUUAGCUAGCCCAUACGUGCGUGCAGGCUAUACCCAAAGAUGGAGAAGAAGCACUUCAUCUAUAUGCAUUGUUGGUUGCACUUAAGUAGGCAAAACAAGUGGCUCACCGCUGUUGCCAAUUCCGUCUUAGAGAAAGACGUCGCAUUCGAGAGUCCUAGAUUGGGCAAAUUAGAGUAGACCGUGAAGACGAACCUAUGGAUUUACUUCUUCAAUCCUCUCAUUCUUAUUGACAGUGUGAAGCACCUCAGCGAGGACUCUGGAAGGCGUACCCAAGUUGGGACUUGAAGAUGACAUUGGCAUGGGACAUGAUGUAUCAUGCCUAGGAUUCGAUUUCUAAUACCGCCAUGCUCAAUGAAGAUGAGGGUAGUGAUCCAACCAUGCCAACACAAGAUGGGCUUGCUCCGGCCAAGAAGGUGAUUAGGAACCGGGAGAGGAAGUGGGAGGAGGUGAAGUAGAAGCGAGAAGGGUGAUACGUCUCCAACGUAUCUAUAAUUUUUUAUUGUUCCACGCUAUUAUAUUACCCGUUUUGAAUGUUUAUGGGCUUUACUUUACACUUUUAUAUCAUUUUUGGGACUAACCUACUAACCGGAGGCCCAACCCGAAUUGUUGUUUUUUUGCCUAUUUCAGUGUUUCGAAGAAAAGGAAUAUCAAACGGAGUCCAAACGGAAUGAAACCUUCGGGAGUGAUCUUUUUGGAACAAACUCAAUCCAGGAGACUUGAAGUGGACGUCAAGAAGCGGCCGAGGCGGCCACGAGGGUGCCUGGCGCACCCUAGGGGGUGGGCACGCCCCCCACCCUCGUGGGCCCCUCAUGGAUCCCCUGAUCGACUUCUUUCGCCUAUAUAUACUUGCAUACCCUGAAAACACCGAGGAGCACCACGAAAACCUAUUUCCACCACCGCAACCUUCUGUAUCCAUGAGAUCCCAUCUUGGAGCCUUUUCCGGCGCUCCGCCGGAGGGGGAAUCGAUCAUGGAGGGCUUCUACAUCAUCGCCAAGGCCUCUCCAAUGAGUUGUGAGUAGUUUACCAUAGACAUUCGGGUCCAUAGUUAUUAGCUAGAUGGCUUCUUCUCUCUCUUUGAAUCUCAAUACAAUGUUCUCCUCGAUCUUCUUGGAGAUCUAUUCGAUGUAACUCUUUUUGCGGUGUGUUUGUCAAGAUCUGAUGAAUUGUGGUUUAUGAUCAAGUUUAUCUAUGAGAAAUAUUUGAAUCUCCUCUGAAUUCUUUUAUGUAUGAUUGGUUAUCUUUGCAAGUCUCUUUGAAUUAUCAGUUUGGUUUGGCCUACUAGAUUGAUCUUUCUUGCAAUGGGAGAAGUGCUUAGUUUUGGGUUCAAUCUUGCGGUGUCCUUUCCCAGUGACAGCAGGGGCAGCAAGGCACGUAUUGUAUUGUUGCCAUCGAGGAUAAAAAGAUGGGGGUUAUAUCAUAUUGUUUGAGUUUAUCCCUCUACAUCAUGUCAUCUUGCCUAAUGAGUUACUCUGUUCUUAUGAAAUUAAUACUCUAGAUGCAUGCUGGAUAGCGAUCGAUCUGUGGAGUAAUAGUAGUAGAUGCAGAAUCGUUUUGGUCUACUUGUCACGGACGUGAUGCCUAUAUACAUGAUCAUGCCUAGAUAUUCUCAUAACUAUGCACUUUUCUAUCAAUUGCUCGACAGUAAUUUGUUUACCCACCGUUGAAAGAACAUGCGGUGCCCCCAUGUUUGGUUUUGGUAAUUGAUGACAAUCUCUAUGGACUAAUGGUUGCCUUGAGUUAUAUUUGAAGGAUUUUUCCAUAGGCUUUUCUUGGAGUCCAUUUGUUGGUUUCAAGGAGAGUUUGUGAUGACCAAGGUGCCACUCAAGGAAUUACCUAAAGAUUGGUCAUGUGAGAGGUUGAUCAAGACUAAGUCGAAGAGUGAAUCAAGUUGAUCAACACACAAAGCGUAGAAGAUGUACCGAGAGGGAUCAAGCGAUCCCAUGGUAUGGUAAGCAUUGUCAAUUACGCUUUGUGUACUAACCCAUGAUCUUCGUGAGAGUUCUUUGUGGGGUUAGGUUGUGGUGUGCAAGUUCAAGUGAAGCAUCACGAAGAGAUCAAAUGCUUGAAGCUUGCAGUCCAUUGUGGUGACAAUGGACUUGUGAAGAUGUGCGGAAGAGUGGCUCACCCAUAGUGGAGUAUGGGGGAGCAAUCAACUAGUCUUCAUCGAGCCAACGCAAUCAAGAAAGGUGGUCCAACUUGAGGGAGUCAAGAUCGUCAUCAUCUAGCUCAAGUGGACCAUGUGCAAGGCAAAGGUUUGCCCUUGAUAGGUUUUCCUUUUUACCGGUCUCAUGAUGGUAGUUGGGAGACCGGGUUUUAGGUUCGAUUGUCGUACUAUCAAGGGGGGCUCUCGAUGAGUAACUUGAUCGUAUCAUUCGUAGAGAGAUCAAACCAUUGCAUCCAUACAUCAUCUUUCUUGGUUCUUGUUUGGUUCUCUUUGUGAGUUUUGGAGCUUUUGGUCAUCUUGAUGACAAGCUCGAGUUCAUCGAAAACGGAGUUCACAUGCAUCUUCUAUGAUGUUUCCGAUGUUGGAGGUUCUGUCGGUUCUUCUCUGUUGGAGGUUUCUCUCCUCUUUUUGUUAGGCAUACUUCCCCUAUUGUUGUUUUGAUGCUACUCGUUGUCUUGUAUCCAACAAGCUUGAGUUUGCUCAAUUCGGUGUCAUUUGCAGAAGUUAUGGCAGUUCUGGUUUUCCUUGGAGCGUACUUGUUUUCGUGGAAGUGGCAUAAGGUUGGUGUUGUUCGGAGCUCAAUCAUUGUAGUGUAAAGCUCCGGGAAAGCGUCGGGGUCUCCAAUUAGGUUGUGGAGACCACCCCGAGCAAUUUGACGGGUACUGGUGACCGCCCCCAAGGGUUGCCAAAGUGUACGGGUUCGGUGACCGCCCCCAAGGGUUGCCAUUUGUACGGGUUCGAUGACCGCCCUCAAGGGUCCCUUAGUGGAAUCACGGCAUCUUGCAUUGUGUGAGGGCGUGAGGAGAUUACGGUGGCCCUAGUGGCUUCUUGGGGAGCAUUGUGCCUCCACACCGCUCCAAACGGAGAUUAGCAUCCGCAAGGGUGUGAACUUCGGGAUACAUCAUCGUCUCUGUGUGCCUCGAUUAUCUCUUACCCGAGCCCUUUACUUAUGCACUUUACUUUGUGAUAGCCAUAUUGUUCUUUGUCAUAUAUCUUGCUAUCACAUAGUUGCUUAUCUUGCUUAGCAUAAGUUGUUGGUGCACAUAGGUGAGCCUAGUUGUUCUAGGUUUUAUGCUUGAUAAAUUAACCGCUAGGUUUAUUCCGCAUUUGUUCAAGCCUAAAUCGUAAUUAUUUUAAAGCGCCUAUUCACCCCCCCUCUAGGCGACAUCCUCGAUCUUUCAAUCGUAAUACUUAUGCUAUCUUGAGAGAAGCCACUGGUGAAACCUAUGGCCCCCGGGUCUAUUUUCCAUCAUAUAAGUUUCCCAUCUAUCUUAUUUUGCAAUCUUUACUUUCCAAUCUAUAUCAUAAAAAUACCAAAAAUAUUUGUCUUAUCUUAUUAUCUCUAUCAGAUUUCACUUUCGCAUGUGGCCGUGAAGGGAUUGACAACCCCUUUAUCGCGUUAGUUGCGAGGUUCUUGUUUGUUUGUGUAGGUACGAGGGAUGUGUGUGGAGCCUCCUACUAGAUUGAUACCUUGGUUCUCAAAAACUGAGGGGAGUACUUAUGCUACUCACCCUUUCCUCUUCAAGGGAAAACUAACGCAGUGCUCAAGAGGUAGCAAGAAGGAUUUCUGGCGCCGUUGUCGAGGAGGUCUUCGCUCAAGUCAAGACAUACCAAGUACGCAUCACAAACUCAUCUCCCUCGCACUACAUUAUUUGCCAUUUGCCUCUUGUUUUCCUCUCCCAUACUUCACCCUUGUCAUUUUAUUCGCCCUCUUUUUUCCGUUCGCUUCUUUUCUUUUGCUUGCCUCUUGUGUGUCUGUUUGCCCUUAUGGCUUUUCCUAAGAAUGCUGAUCUUCACCUUAGAAGGUUGGAAGAGAUCGAAAGCAAUGUUAGAAUCUUUAUGACUUUACAAUUUGAGCAUAAUAACUUCUUUAGGAAUGAGCUUAAAGAACAAAAAAGCUUUAUGGAGUUCAUGAAUAAAGAGCUUGAUGAUAUGUCUAAGGAAUUUUAUGGUUUGAAUUCUCAAAUUGCUCGUCUUGAAAAAUCAAUAGCCCAAAUUUCUGAUAAGCAAGCCACCUUAGUUAAUAAGAUGGUCGCCAAACCAGAAGGGUUAGAGGGAAAUAAUAAUGAUGAAGAUCUAAAAGUUAUUCAUGUGUCCCCUAUGAAAUCUUUGUUUUGCAAUAUGGAUCUUGGUAAUGAUGGGACUCGAGAUGAGUCAACUUUAGUUAAAAGGCGUCCCAAUGAUUCGGAGUUUCUAGAUCUUGAUGCUAAAUUUGGUAAAAGUGGGAUUGGAGAGGUCAAAACUUUACAUAGCAAUGAACCCACUAUUUCGGAUUUCAAGGAAUUUAAUUAUGAUAAUUGUUCUUUAAUAGAUUGUAUUUCCUUGUUGCAAUCCAUGUUGAAUUCUCCUCAUGCUUAUAGUCAAAAUAAAGCUUUUACCAAACAUAUUGUUGAUGCUUUGAUGCAAUCUUAUGAAGAAAAACUUGAAUUGGAAGUUUCUAUCCCUAGAAAACUUUAUGAUGAGUGGGAACCUAAUAUAAAAAUUAAAAUUAAAGAUCAUGAAUGCUAUGCUUUGUGUGAUUUGGGUGCUAGUGUUUCCAUGAUUCCAAAAACUUUAUGUGAUGUGCUAGGUUUCCGUGAAUUUGAUGAUUGCUCUUUAAACUUGCACCUUGCAGAUUCCACUAUUAAGAAACCUAUGGGAAUGAUUAAUGUUGUUCUUAUUGUUGCAAAUAGGAAUUAUGUGCCCGUAGAUUUUAUCGUUCUUGAUAUAGAUUGCAAUCUUUCAUGUCCUAUUAUUCUUGGUAGACCUUUCCUUAGAACGAUUGGUGCAAUUAUUGAUAUGAAGGAAGGAAAUAUUAGGUUCCAAUUUCCAUUAAGGAAAGGCAUGGAACACUUUCCUAGAAACAAAAUCAAAUUAACUUAUGAAUCUAUUAUGAGAGCCACUUAUGAAUUGAAUACCAAAGAUGGCAAUAAUUAGAUCUAUUCUCACUUUUAUGCCUAUCUAGGGCUUUAAACGAUAGCGCUAGUUGGGAGGCAACCCAAUUUUAUUUUUGUUCCUUGCUUUUUUGCUUCUGUUUAGUAAUAAAUAAAUCACCUAGCUUUUGUUUAGAUGUGGUUUUAUGUUUUAAUUAGUGUUUGUUCCAAGUAGAACCUAUAGGAUAACCUACGGUGAUAGUUAAUUUGAUCUUGCUGAAAAACAGAAACAGUUGAUUCUUUUUGCAGUAGAUCAAAGACAAAUUUCCCAGGACUUCCUAUUUUGGUAGGAUUUUUAGAGUUCCAGAAGUAUUCAAAAGUUACAGAUUGCUACAGACUGUUCUGUUUUUGACAGAUUCUGUUUUUCGUGUGUUGUUUGCUUAUUUUGAUGAAUCUAUGGCUAGUAUUGGGGGGUAUGAACCAUAGAGAAGUUGGAAUGCAGUAGGUUUAAAACCAAUAUAAAUAAAUAAUGAGUUCAUUACAGUACCUUAAGUGGUGGUUUUUAUUUCUUACACUACCGGAGCUUAUGAGAUUUCAUGUGGAGUUUUGUGUUGUGAAGUUUUCAAGUUUUGGGUAAAGAUUUGAUGGACUAUGGAAUAAGGAGUUGCAAGAGCCUAAUCUUGUGGAUGCCCAUGGCACCCCGAGAUAAUUCAAGAACAACCAAAAGCCUAAGCUUGGGGAUGCCCCAAGAGGCAUCCCCUCUUUCGUCUUCGUCUAUCGGUAACUUUACUUGGAGCUAUAUUUUUAUUCGACACAUGAUAUGUGUUUUGCUUGGAGCGUCUUGUAUGAUAUGUGUUUUGCUUGGAGCAUCUUGUAUGAUAUGAGUCUUUGCUUUUUAGUUUACCACAACCAUCCUUGCUGUACACACCUUUUGGGAGAGACACACAUGAUUCGGAAUUUAUUAGAAUACUCUAUGUGCUUCACUUAUAUCUCUUGAGCUAGACAAUUUUGCUCUAGUACUUCACUUAUAUCUUUUUAGAGCAUGGAGGUGGCUUUAUUUUGAAGAAAUUAUUGAUCUCUCAUGCUUCACUUAUAUUAUUUUGAGAGCAUUUUAGAACAGCAUGGUAUUUGCUAUGGUUAUAAAAUCGGUCCUGGAAUGAUGGGCAUCCAAGUUGGGUAUAAUAAAAACUAUCAUAGAGAGUGCAUUAAACACCAUGAUCAAUUUGAUACUUGAUAAUUGUUUUGAGAUAUAAAGGUGGUAAUGUUAGAGUCAUGCUAGUGGGGUAAUUAUGAAAUUGAGAAAUACUUGUGUUAAAGUUGGCAAGUCCCGUAGCAUGCAUGUAUGGUAAAAGUUGUGUAACAAAUUUGUUGCAUGGAGUGCUCUUUUGAUUGCCUUCCUUAUGUGUGGAGGUCGGGAUCGCGCGAUGGUUAACUCCUACCAACCCUUCCCCUAGGAUCAUGCGUAGUAGUACUUUGCUUCGAGGGCUAAUAAACUUUUGCAAUAAGUAUAUGAGCUAUUUAUGACUAAAUGUGAGUCCAUGGAUUAUACGCACUCUCACCCUUCCACCAUUGCUAGCCUCUCUUAUGCCGCGCAGCUUUCGCCGGUAUUAUACAUCCACCAUUUACCUUUUUUUAAACAGCCAUCAUACCUACCUAUUAUGGCAUUUCCAUAGCCAUUCCGAGAUAUAUUGCCAUGCAACUUUCCACCGUUCCGUUUACUAUGACACGCUCCAUCAUUGUCAUAUUGCUUUUGCAUGAUCAUGUAUUUGACAUCGUAUUUGUGGCAAGGCCACCUUCAUAAUUUUUUCAUACAUGUCACUCUUGGUUCACUGCAUAUCCCGGUACACCACCGGAGGCAUUCACAUAGAGUCAUAUUUUGUUCUAAGUAUUGAGUUGUAAUUCUUGAGUUGUAAAUCAAUAAAAGUGUGAUGAUUUUCAUUAUUAGAGCAUUGUACCAAGUGAGGAAAGGAUGAUGGAGACUAUGAUUCCCCCACAAGUCGGGAUGAGACUCCAGACUUUAUAAAAAUAAAAGAGGCCAAAGAAGCCCAAAUAAAAAAAAUAAGCCAAAGAAGCCCACUAAAUAAAUAAAAAAAUGAGGGAAAAGAGAGAAGGGACAAUGUUACUAUCCUUUUUCCACACUUGUGCUUCAAAGUAGCACCAUGAUCUUCAUGAUAGAGAGUCUCCUAUGUUGUCACUUUCAUAUACUAGUGGGAAUUUUUCAUUAUAAAACUUGGCUUGUAUAUUCCAAUGAUGGGCUUUCUCAAAAUGCCCUAGGUCUUCGUGAGCAAGCAAGUCGGAUGCACACCCACUUAGUUUUUUUUGUUGAGCUUUCAUACAUUUAUAGCUCUAGUGCAUCUGUUGCAUGGCAAUCCCUACUCACUCACAUUGAUACCUAUUAAUGGGCAUCUCCAUAGCCCGCUGAUACGCCUAGUUGAUGUGAGACUAUAUUCUCCCUUUUUUGUCUUCUUCACAACCACCAUCCAAUUCCACAUAUAGUGCUAUAUCCAUGGCUUGCACUCAUGUAUUGCGUGAGAGUUGAAAAAGCUGAAGCGCGUUAAAAAGUAUGAACCAAUUGCUUGGCUGAAACCGGCGUUGUGCAUGAUGGGAGUACUUUGUGUGAUGAAAAAUGAAGCAUAGCCUAACUAUAUAAUUUUGUAGGGAUAAGCUUUCUUUGGCUUUGCUAUUUUGAUAAGACAUGAUUACUUUGUUAGUAUGCUUGAAGUAUUACUAUUUUUAUGUUAAUAUGAACUUUUAUCUUGAAUCAUUUGGAUCUGAACAUUCAUGCCACAAUAAAGAAAAUUAAAUUGAGAAAUAUGCUAGGUAGCAUUCCACAUCAAAAUUUUUGUUUUUAUCAUUUACCUACUCGAGUACAAGCAGGAAUUAAGCUUGGGGAUGCUUGAUACGUCUCCAACGUAUCUAUAAUUUUUUAUUGUUUCAUGCUACUAUAUUACCCGUUUUGGAUGUUUAUGAGCUUUACUUUACACUUUUAUAUCAUUUUUGGGACUAACCUACUAACCGGAGGCCCAACCCGAAUUGCUAUUUUUUUCCUAUUUCAGUGUUUCGAAGAAAAGGAAUAUCAGACGGAGUCCAAACGGAACAAAACCUUCGGGAGCAAUAUUUUUGGAACAAACGCAAUCCAGGUGACUUGGAGUGGACGUCAAGAAGCGGCCGAGGCGGCCACGAGGGUGCCUGGUGCGCCCUAGGGGGGUGGGCGCGCCCCCCGCCCUCGUGGGCCCCUCGUGGCUCCGCUGACCGACUUCUUUCGCCUAUAUAUACUUGCAUACCCUGAAAACACUGAGGGGCACCACGAAAACCUAUUUACACCGCCGCAACCUUCUGUACCCGUGAGAUCCUAUCCUGGAGCCUUUUCUGGUGCUCCGCCGGAGGGGGGAUCGAUCACGGAGGGCUUCUACAUCAUCGCCAAGGCCUCUCCGAUGAGUUGUGAGUAGUUUACCAUAGACCUUCGGGUCCAUAGUUAUUAGCUAGAUGGCUUCUUCUCUCUCUUUGAAUCUCAAUACAAUGUUCUCCUCGAUCUUCUUGGAGAUCUAUUCGAUGUAACUCUUUUUGCGGUGUGUCUGUCGAGAUCCGGCGAAUUGUGGGUUUAUGAUCAAGUUUAUCUAUGAGAAAUAUUUGAAUCUCCUCUGAAUUCUUUUAUGUAUGAUCUUUGCAAGUCUCUUCGAAUUAUCAGUUUGGUUUGGCCCACUAGAUUGAUCUUUCUUGCAAUGGGAGAAGUGCUUAGCUUUGGGUUCAAUCUUGCGGUGUCCUUUCCCAGUGACAGUAGGGGCAGCAAGGCACGUAUUGUAUUGUUGCCAUCGAGGAUAAAAAGAUGGGGUUUAUAUCAUAUUGUUUGAGUUUAUCCCUCUACAUCAUGUCAUCUUGCCUAAUGCGUUACUCUGUUCUUAUGAACUUAAUACUCUAGAUGCAUACUGGAUAGCGGUCGAUGUGUGGAGUAAUAGUAGUAGAUGCAGAAUCGUUUCGGUCUACUUGUCACGGACGUGAUGCCUAUAUACAUGAUCAUGCCUAGAUAUUCUCAUAACUAUGCACUUUUCUAUCAAUUGCUCGACAGUAAUUUGUUCAUCCACCGUAAUACUUAUGCUAUCUUGAGAGAAGCCACUAGUGAAACCUAUGGCCCCCGGGUCUAUUUUCCAUCAUAUAAGUUUCCCAUCUAUCUUAUUUUGCAAUCUUUACUUUCCAAUCUAUAUCAUAAAAAUACCAAAAAUAUUUAUCUUAUCUUAUUAUCUCUAUCAGAUCUCACUUUCGCAAUUGGCUGUGAAGGGAUUGACAACCCCUUUAUCGCGUUGGUUGCGAGGUUCUUGUUUGUUUGUGUAGGUACGAGGGACGUGUGUGGAGCCUCCUACUGGAUUGAUACCUUGGUUCUCAAAAACUGAGGGAAAUACUUACGCUACUUUGCUGCAUCACCCUUUCCUCUUCAAGGGAAAACCAACGCAGUGCUCAAGAGGUAGCAAAGGGGUUGUGGCCAAGAUGACAGAGAAGCUUGAGGCUUCAUGACGAAGAAGGGGGAGGCUAGUGUCGCGUGCAAUAAGGUGAAGAAGCGAAAGAAGGCGGAGAGGUUUAGCAUUUUCAUGGACAUGUAAGAAAAGAAGCUCAAGCUCCAAGAGAAGAAGCUUGAGAUCAAUGCCACUUCAGGGAACUCUAAAAUGUUGUUUGUGAGGACGUCAUACUUGGGUCCCGAUGCGGCGGUCCAAGCCUGCCAUGCGAUCUUAUUGAAGCACUUCGCACAAAUGGAGGAGGUCGGACCAUCCGAAGAGUGAGGUCUUUGCUACAAACAGGCGACCUGGGAGCCAAAGAUGAAGGUCUUUGCGUGGACAGGUGGAUUGGCAACUUUUGGAAUCGGUCGAUGUAAAAACUUAUUAAACAUCUGGUGCUUUUUGAUUGUGAAUAGUUACAUAUACUUGCAACUAUUAAAUGUAUGCUUAAAUUCGUAUUGAUUUAGAUAUACAUGUGAAAUGGAGGAGGCCGGAACAUAGGCGAAGAUUUGAUGACUCCUAUUGGAUGGCAUCCGUUUCUAUUCUUAUGCAAACGUGCCCAUGGAUAUUUGGAGGUAUACGUUCUGAUGAACACGUCAAACAUGCAUGUAGAUAUUUGGUAGUAUCUGUUUUGAUAAACUACGUUGAAGUUGCCCCUAUGAUGCAAGCAUUCAGUGGUAUUCAUUUUGGUAAAUGGCGAUUAGGGCAUCUUUGAUUCGUAGGAUUCUUAAAAUGAAGGAAAAGGAAAAAUACAGGAACAGGAUGGCAUGUCCUAUAUAACCCUACAUAAUCUGAGAGAAUGUUAAUAGGGCAUGAAAAACAAAGAAAUCCUACAAAGAGGUUUAGGAUAGGAUUCUAUAGGAAAAUUUUCUUGAAAACACUUCCAUUUGUAGGAAUAGAAUCAUGUUCCUAUAGAUGAAUUCUUUCUAUCCUCCACAUUUCAUAAGAAAUAAAUAUUAGGCUAGACUCAAUGAUAAGAAUCCUAUGAUGUGAACCAAAUGACAUCUCUUUUUCUAUUCAUAUUCAUAGGAUUUGAGAUAUAUGUCAUCUCAUCUCAUUUUCUAUGACUUUUCUAUUCCUUUGAAUAUUCUAUCCUAUGAACCGAAGGAGGCCUAAGUGAAUGAAAACUUUCCUCCAAAAUGUAGUACCAUGGAUCCUAUGAAAAAAGUCCUAAGGAUUCAAUCCUACGAAUCAAACUACCAACCAUCGCAGGAAAAAAUUUCUAAGGGUCCAUCCUCCCAAAAUCCUAUGUGAUUCUUUUGAGCCCUGAAGUUGCUGCCCUAGGAGGCAGGUAGGAGGGGGGCUUGGAGAGCACGAUGGCCGGAGAUCGGAUUGGGGACACGUGGCGUGGCAGGGCGGGAGCAGGAACUGACACGUGCCAAAGCGGUGUCAUGACACACAAAACCAACAUUAAGCUGCCCAUAGUGGUGGUAUCUUAGGUAGUAUCGUGCACUCGGGAAUAGCAGCCAUGUUGAUGUGGCAGAAAAUUAGAGAGAGAGGGUUAGAGUAACAUACCAUAUCAUGUUAAGUGAUAUGCCACUUUGUAUCAUGCAUGGCAAUAAAUAUGAUCAUCUAUGAUACUACUGUAUGAUUCUAUGCACUAUGAAGGUAGUAUGAUACACUAAUAUCACAUGCAUGAUACUCGUCUGGCGACUCGGGGGUAAAAAAACCCUAGCGCCGCCACCUUCUUCCCCUUCCCCCCAGCCGUCUUGCCGCCGCCAGAGGACGCCCCCGGCGAAGCUCGGGCCGGCCCCAAGGAAGGCGGCGGCGGGGCGCCAGUUCCUGGUCUCGGAAAGGAGAUCCACUCCGAGGCAGCGGCAGAAGGAGGCGCGGCGAGGUGCGAGGUGGGCGGCGCGCGGGCUGGACCCGGUCUGGGGUUCCGGCGCGCCCUGGUGACGCGGGUGUGCAGGGGCCCGCGUGCACGGCACGAGGCCGCUUCGAGCGACGCGGUGGCGCGCGGGGGGUUUCCCCAGAGCCGAUCUGCUGGGGUUGGCCUUCCCCCCGUGGCUGGCGGCCCGCUUGCGGCUCAGAUCCAUGGCGGCGCCCAUGGCUGGUGGCACGUGGCGCAGCUUGGCGGCGGGCGGCGCCAGCGUGGACAGGUGGGCCACUUCUCUGGCCAUGUGGAUGGCGGGGAGGUGGUGGGCUUCGGCUGCGGCGGCGGUUCCUCGCUGGAUGUUGGUGGCCAUGGUGAUGUUCGUCCUCGACCCCGAUCUACUCCGAUCUGCAAUGGAUCCGGCCCUUGCUGGCUUCGGUCACCGUUCUUGGGUGUUGGCCUUGCAGAUCCGGUGGCUGGAAGGGUUCUGGGGGAAUCUCUUGGCCGGCGUGGCGGCCACUCCGAUGGCAGUGCCUUUGGGUGUUGCUUCCCUCGUUGGAGGCUUCGGAGAGGACCUCCUUCCUUCCACCCCUCCCAGGAGCUCAGGUGAAAACCUCAGACCCCCCUGUUCCAAGCGACGACGACACCACGGUGGCGUGCUCCUUCCUGAAGGCGUUGCUCGGGGCUGCUCAAGCGGCGGUGGAAGUGGCGACGGUUCGGUGUCGACAUAUGCAUUCUGGUCAGCUUCAUCUUGGAGGUUGCCGCGACGUAGGCGACGCUCGUCUGGUGGAGCUACUGCCGAUGGUCAAGGCAUCGUCGGCAGUCUGCGCCAUCAGGUUUGGGAUGCUCAGGGGGAAACCCCAGAUCUGGGUCUUCCGAAUCGGAUGAUGAUGGCGUUCUAUCGCUUUUCCUUCUGGGGGCAUCGUCUUGGAGCAAGUGCUGGCUCGAGGGAUGGUGGAGCGGUCUUUCAUCUCACAUAUUGGAUGGCGGCAGAGAUUGAUGGCAUGGCGCUGUGGAGACUCGGCGCCCGAUGCGCGGAGAUGGGCGCGCGCAGGAGGAGGUUGCUGUCUGGCGUCAUGGUGACGUCGAUGGCAGAGUGGCCAGACAAGGUAGAAGCCUCAAUAUGAUCUGAAGACCUGUGGAAGAUGGCGGCGACGACACACGAGUGCGUCUGACCGGAUUGUACCCCAGACCCGGUAUGUGGCUCGGCUGGGGCUUCCAAAUGAGUUUCGGCUUCCGGCUUUUGAUGUUAGGCUUAGGUGAGUGGUUUGGGUAGUGGCCCAGCUCGCACUCCUUCAUCAUUUUGGAUAGGAAUAGGGGCAUAUGUUGCCAAAAUGGUGUUCUCAGGCACAUUGUUGUAAUACUUUGUAAGGUCCUCGAGAAUAUAAGUGGCCGUAUGCAUCUUCCAGAUGCAGAGGCCGGGGGUCAUCCUCCUUUUCUAAAAAAAAUAAAAUAUCACAUGCAUGAUACUAGUAUAUGAUACUCCCAGUAUGAGUAGCCUUAUGCGGCGCAGCAAACAUCACAGCUCCAUCUAUCUGGAAAAGAAAGAACAAUUAACCUGAGAUCAGCAAAAGCAACUUCACUUCCUUUUGCUUUAGUUGUAUCAACUUCCUUUUGCUUUAGUUGUAUCAUGCAGUAUACCAGAACCAUUCAUGAUUUGAGAAUUGGACACCAGGAAAUACACAGGCCAAACACCUCAUUCCAAAUAAGAACACAUUGGACAGGUAAUCGAACUGUGCACACUCUCAUAUUGAUCCGUAAAGUACAGGUCGACCCUCCAGUGAUUUCUCUAUGAUUUCAUCUAUCUACUGCUUCUCUAUAUACAGGAUACGGCACAACAAAAGAACCUCCCAGUCCACUGAAGGAAACAUACAUAUACAACAUUGUUCCGAUAAUGUCUGUUCUGUACACAACUCCACUCCACCUUGGUGCAAAGCCUCGUUCUACACCAUCAUGUUCAUGUAGGCUGGACCGCUGACAGUCAAGACGACGACAACAAGCAUUUCUCCUAAUCUCAUCGUACAAGCACAUCUCGGGACUGUUGUUGCCAUAUGUCACAUCGUUCUUGCUCGACCUGCAAAGACCACACGCUUACUAUUAGACAUUAUGCUGUUAAAGCUGCAGUUCAGUUGAUAUAUCUACAGAAUACAUCAUAAAAGAC
rnacentral:lncRNA from 1 species